CUUUCUUGUAAUGUAAAUGUUUUCCUUCAUUUGUAGGACAAGAAAAGUGUCUUCCUGAUGAUGAGAGUUCUUGCCAUGGUCUCUGUUAUUUUUGAGAAGCCAGACUAAGCUUGUGCGGCAGCCAAUGCAUUUUGUCAAAGGAAAAAAAUUGUUAAAGGGCACUAUCAUUUUACAGAUUUUGACAAACCGUUUUGGAUUUUUCUGUGUUCUAGACCUAUCUGACAAUUGCUUAGGUUGGAUGUUCUUUUUAUGCUGGAUUGUUUGCAGUUUCUUCGAAUAUGUAAGCAGUAGGUGCUUUAUCUGUCAUUAACAAGAAAAGGAUUGUGUUGCAACAGGAAGCAAAUUUAAAAAGGAAAAAAAAUAAACAUUUCACAGGCCGAUGCGGAAUUGAAAUGGUGACAAUGUUUUAGUCAAUUUGCUACAACCUUUUACCAUCACCCAAUAAGGAACAUAUACAUUUAUUACAAAAAAAAAUAUAUACAUGUGUUUCUUACUUUUUUAUUGCAGGAAAUAAUUUUUCAAAAAUAUUCACAAUGGUAUUAGAUCAACAAUCAGAGUUCUAUAGUUAAAAAAGAAACGUGAAACCUUACCGUCUGUGACUGCAUCUUCAACGAUAUUGUUGCUUUUUCUUCUUUUGGAAUGUUUGAGUUGAUGAUUUCAUAUAAAUACUUAUUGUGAUGGUAAAAAGAAUACACUGCGAAGAGUAGAAGGUUGGUCAGGAAUACAAGAGCAUAAAUUCCUUGACUGGAUGCCAUAAACAAGUAAUCUCUUUUGCCGCUCAUAUGAACGCCACAACGAACGACCAUUGCCAGCAAAACCUACGAGAAGGACCUACAAGUACAAUACAGGUCAUCUCUCGAAAACUCGGAUUCUUUCCUCCUUAAUUGUAGUUUGCAUCAACUGAAUCUUUCACAUACUUUUAGGUCUCUUAAAACUGGAAUAUAAUAUAAAAGGGACCUGAACUUUUAUUAAAGGCCCCAAAAAAGGCUUUAUUUGGAUAUUUGUUAAAUCAAGGCUUUAUCCAGGAAUUAGUCGGGUCUUGUAACUUGGGGAUGCACACAAGAAACUAGAUAUUUUUGGUUGCCUUUAAUUUUGUUCUUUCUUUUGCCUGUUUGUACCAGCUUGGAACAAAUUCUGUUUUCCUGAGGUUUUGUUUUGCUUAUGAGUCCCGGCAGUGGGCCCAUGAAAGAGUGUGGAUACAGUGAAAUUAAUACUCGUGGCACCUCCCCCAUGGAGUCUCCUCCUAAAAAGAAAGCUGCUGCACAGAAGAAAUGGGAGGUUUUCCCAGGUAGGAACAAAUUUUUUUGCGAUGGCAGGAUAAUGAUGGCCAAGCAAACUGGAGUCUUCUACCUCACCCUGAUCCUUAUCCUGCUAACCAGUGGACUCUUCUUUGCCUUUGAGUAAGUGUCAUUACUUCUGUGUGUGUAUCUUAAUUUACAUAAAAUGUUUGUAAACUAAAAUAGUCUAAAAUGUUUUGAUGGAUAUUACAUUUUCUGUAUAUUACUCAGACUUUUGCUUUAUUGUGGUCUGGGUAUUGCAUUAAAGGACCACUGACGUUUUUAUUUCUUUUGGUUCUUGCUAAAUAGUUUCUUUAGUUGGCUCCACAAAUGUAUUGGAUUUAGGCCACUUCUUGCACACCGCAGAAUCAUGACAAGGAAUCCUGUUUAAACAUAUAGGUUUCCUUAUUCUGGAAAAGAUCACAUGCUAAUAUAAUCUGGCUCAACUAUAUUACUAAUGUAUUUUUUUGUUGUUGUUGUUGUCAUUUACAGUACCAUCAAUUACUCGCCCGAACAUUUUUAUGUUCUACAACCUCAGAUCAUACCACUAACUGGAUGCUUUCUUGUAUCUGUAAUGCAUUCAGGAAGCAUAUUGUCUCCAAUUCCUAGUCUUACACUCUUUAUUCCAUCAUCGCCAGUUGUUGAUAUUUUGGUCUUAUUUCUCCAGAGGACUCUGCCCCACUGUUCCUCGGACCAAUUAACAUUGUUUUAGCCAAGUGUUGCCAAAAAUGUAGCUCCCCAGAUGUUGUAUAACUUCAACUCCCAUGAUCCUGUGUACAUUUUUGCAUGCCUUUAGAUUGACAAGGCAUCAUAGAAGUUAUAGUUUUAAAACAUCUGAGGUUCUUCCUUUUGGGCACCAGUGUUUUAGCUUAUUCAAAUAUCUUCCUUAUUUGUUUAGGGGAAAGAAAUUGCUUUUUCCAAGGAAUUGUAAAAAUUUUUUUUUUUUUUUGAGUCCGAUACUAACCGUUCUAGCAGUAAUCUUAACACCUUAAGACUGAGCCAAAUGUACACAUUGUGAUCAAAAAGUAAACAAAACCUUGAAUUUAGGUAUGAAACAUAAUUUAAUAUGAAUAAAAUAUAAAAAAGGGGGAAAAUAAACUUUAUAUUUUUUUUUUUUUUGUUAGUUCUACGUGACCUAUUAACUGUGACUGUCAUAAUACGCUUUGCUUUUACUGCAAUAAAAUACACAUUUGUGUUCAGCGAUGUCUAAAGUGUAAAACAGUACCCCCUAUGUACAGGUUUUAUGGUGUUUUGGGAAGUUACAGGUUCAAAUAUAGCAUGUUAAAUUUUUCAGUUUUUUUCACAUUGAAAUUCGCCAGAUUGGUUACGUUGCCUUUGAGACCGUAUGGUAGCCCAGGAAUGAGAAUUACCCCCAUGAUGGCAUACCAUUUGCAAUAGUAGACAACCCAAGGUAUUGCAAAUUGGGGAUGUCCAGUCUUUUUUAGUAGCCACUUGUUCACAAACUCUGGCCAAAGUUAGUGUUAAUAUUUGUUUGUGUGUGAAAAAUGUAAAAAAACUAAUUGGAACGCCAAUUUUGGCCAGUGUUUGUGACCAAGUGGCUACUAAAAAAGACUGGACAUACCCCAUUUGCAAUACCUUGGGUUGUCUACUAUUGCAAAUGGUAUGCCAUCAGGGGUAAAUGUCAUUCCUGGGCUACCAUACGGUCUCAAAGGCAACGUAACCAAUCUGGCGAAUUUUAAUGUAAAAAAACUGAAAUGCAAGCCUUGUAUUUGACUCUGUAACUUUUGAAAACACCAUAAAACCUGUACAUGAGGGGUACUGUUAUACUCAGGAGACUUUGCUUCAAAUCAGUAAAAUGUAUCACUGAUGAUAUCGUUGUAAUACAUUUUACGGCGACCGGGUAAGUACAAAGGUCGGCGGGGACGUGCUAUGCGGUCCUUAAGAGGUUAAAACCAGAUGGAGACCAUUUUUAUCUCUCACUUAUAGUUUUUGAAUUCUUCUGUCACAACAUGCAUUGUGCAUCUUCGAUGGAGUAUGCAAAUAUCUCUUGCAUAGGUCAGAAAUACCUCCUUUUAGUUAGAUUUCCUAAGAAGUGUAGCCUUCAAGCAAAGUUGUUAUUUUUCCAUCUCUUUUUAGGUGACAAGUCAACUCUUUUCGUAAAGUUUCUUGACCUCUUACCAAGUUAAACAGUAUACUACGUUAUUAAGGAAAAGGGAAAAAAAUAAAUCUGACCAACAAAAAAUGCCAACUUGAUGACACUCAAACAACUAAUGAGUCCUAUCAUUAGCUCUGAUACAUCCUAAUAGGAAUUAAGAUGGUUUCGUAUAAUGUCAUAACACCUGAUUGGCUCUCAGAACAUUGGUCAGUUUUGAGUUAAAGGACCACUAUAGGCACCCAGAUCCCUUCAGCUCAAUGCCAUGUCCCCCUAAUUUUAACCCUGCAGCAGAAACAGCUCUGUUUACAUUGAGGGUUAAUCCAGCCUCUAGUGGCUGUCUCCCUGACAGCGGUUUGAAUGCGCAUGCGUCUGUCUGCGCAUUCGCAGCCGACGUCGGCAGGGAGAGGAGAGGUCCUCAGCGCCGAGUUAGCGUGGCGCUGGAUUAAGGUAAGUGGCUUUAACCCCUUCCGCCCAGCGGGAGGGGGGACGACGUAAUAACCCUAUAGUGCCAGGAAAAUCAGUUUGUUGUCCUGGCAGUAUAGUGCUCCUUUAAGGAGUUUCUCUACAUGUUACAUUAGGCAGCUGUGUUUUACUUUUCUAGUUAUGUAGCUGUGACAUUUAGUAGAAUAAAAAAAAGAUUUUUCAUUGUCUUUUGCAUAAAAUUAUCUUUUUAUAAUGAUAUGUAAUUUAUGGCAUUUUUAAGACUUGUGUUAUUAGCCCUAAAUGUUCCACAAGGUUUCAACAAUUGUUACCAAUGGUUUGUAUAAUAUAAUGCAAGGAGUCAGAGUUCAAGGUUUUGUGCGCCGACCACAUAGCCCUGGAAUUAGUAAACUUUAAAUAUAAGGCUUGAUUAAAAUAUGGCGUUGAUUCCUUUCAUAUAAUGGUUUUGUUCUGUCACUUUUAAUAACUCUGUCACUUUCACCUUCUAGUGGUUAUGAUGCCAGAAUGCCUCUGGAACCAUCACAGUAUUCUGUGUUAAACCAGUUUAUUAACUUUUUACACAAAUAAUGUAGAGGCAUUAUAGUGUUAUGAAUACAAACCUCUACAUUAGAGUGCUGGACUACCUAGUUAGGUGAAAAAGGUUACAUAGCUUUUAGUGUACCUACACUUUCAGUUCUUGGUUUCUUAGAAUUUAUGUAAUUAAUGCCUUGGGGUUGGUUUUGCUCUCUUUGGCUAUCAUUUUUUCAUUUUGAAGUUUAGCGAAACUAAUGAACUUUUUGCACGCAUUAUUGGCUUCCUUAUAUCUUUUAUAGGAUGCAUCUGAUUUGUCCGAUUUAACCCCUUGAGGACCAAACUUCUGGAAUAAAAGGGAAUCAUGACAUGCCACACGUCAUGUGUCCUUAAGGGGUUAAAGGCCCUUUUCUAAUUUUUAGUCUGUUUUACUUAUCUACUAGGCCACAUGUUGGUCAGAAGAUCAAAGUUGUUUGUUAAAACCAGGUCCAGACAAGCGUCCUUUCUAGUUGGUGCUUGUACAAGUUGUGACAUGAAGGUGUCAUUUAAACAAGUUCAAAAACCUAAUUCCCUAUGCUGAGCUACUAGUCCCUCUGUCCCAAUUUAUGUCUGGGUAAUUAAAAUCUCCAAUAAUUAACGUGUUACCCAGAUUUGCAGCUUUCUCAAUUUGCUCAAACUACUGUUCCUCAUCAAUAUUAACAUUAGGUGGUUUAUAACAUAUCUCAACCAAUAGUUUAUUUUCCUUCUUUUGCCCCAAGAAGAUAUUUACCCAUAAAGCAUCCACAUUUCCCUCCUCACAUUACACUUGCUUAAAGGACCACUAUAGCGCCAGGAAAACACUCUUUUUCCUGGCACUAUAGUGCCACUAGUGCUCCAUAUCGUCUGAAUGCGCAUGCGCGGCAGGAGCUGCGCGCAUUCAGCCAGUCCAAAGGAAAGCAUUCUCAAUGCUUUCCUAUGGACGCUGGCAUCUUCUAACAGUGAGAAGCGCCUCUAGCGGCUGUCACUGAGACAGCCACUAGAGGCUGGAUUAACUCUAUUCUACAAAACUGCUAUGUUUAUAGAAGAAAGGGUUAAUCCUAGCUGGACCUGGCACCCAGACCACUUCAUUAAGCUGAAGUGGUCUGGGUGCCUAUAGUGGUCCUUUAAGAUUUGUCUUAAACUCAUGGUUGACAUACAAACUUAUACCACCACCUUUCUUGUUUUUUCUGUCCUUCCUAAGUAGGACAGAACUGCAUUUUACAUCCUGCAGAAACACCUACCACUCUCAGGUACUGACUGAAUCUGUGAAGAUACUCCACCUUAUUUAUUCUUGGAUUGUGGCAAUAUCACGUGUUCCUAUAGAAUUGUUACCAUUUAUACCUGUAGUUUGCCACUAAAGUUCUGUGCAUGCAGUUUGUAUUAUUGUCAUUCAUGUUUCUGACCAAUAUUUCAUGUACACAGUUAUUAAUAUAUUGGUUGCUAGAAUUUGGUUGCUAAACUUUCCAAUUGUAUUCAACACAUGGCUAGUCUACCUCCUCCCCUCUCUCCCUCUUUGCUAUCCUCCUCCUAGCUGUAAAUACCUUCAUAUAACUAUUCAAUCUUCUUCUCUGUUCUUCAGGCCUUACUUCACACUCAAACUCUGUGAAGAACUGCAUCUUUUUUCUCACCACUUAACCCUCCCCCAAUAUAUUGCAUGAGUCUCACUCAAUUACCUUGUCACUCCCUUUACAAUUUACCAAUAGCUGCUUCUCUCUGUUAACUCUUUUAGCCAUCACCUCCAAAUUUCACCUGCUACCUCUUUGUCUCAGUUCCCCACUGUAUCCUUUAGAUUGUAAGCUUACUGGCCAUCUAGCUAAGCACUUUGUAUAAAAGAGCUCAAAUGGCUAGAUAUCAGCUUACGGGCAGGGCUCUCUCUACCUCUUGUAUUUGUCUGUGUAUAUUGUACCUUCUCAACUAAUUGUACAGCGCUGCGGAAUCUAUUGGCCCUUUAUAAAUACCAGUAAUAAUAAUAAUAGUGUGUACCCAUUUAGGUUAACUGCCCAGUCAUGUGUCUCAUCCCACCAUGUUUCAGUUAUGCCUAUUAUAUCAUAUUGUUUAGUGUAUGCUAUUGCCUCUAGUUCCCCCAGUUUAUUUAGGCUCCUUGCAUUAGUAAGCAUACAUUUAAUAUCAUGAGUCACUUGUACUCUUUGUAAAUUAUCAACAUUAUAUACAUUCUCUGUUCUAAGCUUGCCCAUCCCCCCCGUCUCCAUCCCCCUUAUACUGAGCUAAAGCCCAUGUCCUUCCUGUCCUAUCUCCAUUUUGUAGAUUGCUAUGACCCUCCCCCCCUCCCCACUACUAGUUUAAAAUCUCCUCCAACCUUCUAGCCAUCCUAUCCCCCGGCACUGCAGACACUCUCCCGUUUCGGUGCAACCCAUCACUGCUAUAAAGGUUGUACCCAAGCGCAAAGUCGGCCCAGUGUUCUAAAAACCUCAAACCCUCCUUCCUGCACAAAGACUUCAGGUUAGUUUCCUUUUCUCAAUCGUCGCCCUGAUUUCGGUGCUGCUUGGCCCCACCUCCAUGGCUCCAAGAUCAUCAGUCUUAAUAAUCUCAGUAAUCCGUUGCUUUCCCAUAGGAAAGCAUUUUGAGGCUAUUGUGCAUGUGUGGCAAAACGCUGUUCUACGCCACGCCAUAUGUCCUCAUAGAGAUGCAUUGAAUAAAUGCAUCUCUAUGGCUAGCGUUCAGCGUCUCCAUGCAGAAUACUCUGCAUGGAGAUGCUGAAUUUUCCUCAUAGAGAUGCAGUGCUGUGUUUGGCUCCUCCUUGGAGACAGAUUGGGUCAGGGAACGGCGUUGGCAGACCUGUGUGGCGCUGGAAUAAGAUUUUAUUUAUUUCCUUUUGGGGUGACAGAGGGACCAGUAACCUAAAUUGUGAUUUACUAACCGUAUAGGGUCAGGAAUACAUGUUUGUAUUCCUGACCCUAUAGUGUUCCCUUUAAGCAUUGUAUUUUUAUCACUGAAUAUAAAGAUUUGUUGGUUAAAGAAAAAACCUGGCUCCUAACUGUCUUUAGCUGGCUCAUAGAUUGAAAGAUUCCAAGCAAAUUUAUCAAGCACUGCAUUAGAUUUCACUUUACAGGAAGUGUUUAGAAAGGCUGUGCAAGUUGCACCUAGUGCUCGCUGAGGACUCCAAGCACUCCAACCGACACCAUCAGCACUGCAGACCCCACUUCCAGCGAUACAGCUGCGCCGGGGUCUCGCCGUCUCCACCCACCCUGGAUCCACGACCAGGAUCCAGCUCCCAGUGGGUGAACCUCUCCUAAAUCCAGAGAGCGUAGCAGGAACAAAUCAAUCUAUUGCAAGAGCUUACUCUGGGGAGUAAGCGAUUAUAGCAAUCCCCAGAGUGUAGGUAUCCCUUCCCCCAAACAUGAGCUAAGGCUUCAAGAAAGGUACAAGAUGAUCUGGUUUUAAUGACCUCAUACUGGCUUUUAUGCAAGUCCCCAUGCAAGGGGACAUCCCACAGGAUGGGACACAGUAUAACCAAUCACAGACAAUACAAAUAAAAAACACUCCCACAGUGACCUCACAAUCCCUCCUCUCUUUCCUGGAGAUAAUUGGGAAGUAAUCAAAUUAUCUCCCAGGACAGAGGCAAGACUCCAUUAACCACAUGGUUACAAAUGGACAUAAAACAUAUACAUGCAACAUAUCCCCAGAUAGCUUAGAUCUGAGUGCACAUUAUUAUUGAAUGGCGCUCAGGUCACAUACAUAAAAUUCAAUUGCCAUGGAGCCAAAGUCUUUUCAUAGUCUUUUGUUCCACGAAUUAGCUCCAUGGCAUAGCUAUCUGGGGUAGUGCACUACUCACAUACUGGAAGUCCCGAACAACCCGGCAGAAAUACCCAAAUAAACCUUAUUGCAGCGUAAAAUACAGCUAUCAGCACAGGGGCCAAAGUCGGAAGGCAGGAGGCUAGCCAGUAGUCCCCUAAAGGCACAAGUGGCGAAGGGCACUUCGUCACACAUUUAAUUAUGCAUUUUUAUUUUUUAUUUUUUUAUUUUUGGGGUUACAUCUGCAAAGGCAGCAGACAAAAUCUGCAGUUUUAAUCCCUCUCCUUCUAACACAGCCUCAAAUUUAUGUGACUGUUAAAUCAGACUUUCCAAUGCAGCUCAAUUAAGUCUUUGCAAGGCAGGUACUUUGGGCAAUUGCCUCUUCAGUUCAGUGCAACAAAGCUAACCAAACCAGGAAGUAACAGGACCUGUUGUCUGCUUGAAAAGCCACGGGUGUAACAAGUAUCCUCAAUAAACAUGCAACAUUUUGUUCCAAAAUGAGGGGGGAAAAGGACUCACUAUUCACACACAAAGCAUUUCAGGAAGCUAAAGUGAUUUUUGUGGUCUGGAGUGUCCCUUUAAAACAGUGGUUACCAACCGUUUUUUCCAGCCUAUUCCCAUAAAUUGUACCCCUCAUAUUAGCUAAAUGUUUAAUAUAGAUGCUGUUAUUUCAGAUUUGUGUGGUUUAUUUUUUUUAUUUUUUUCUGCCCCUGGCUCCACCCUGCUUGUGUCAGUGUGUAUCUGCACAAUGAAAAACACGGACACACGUACAGACACACAGAUCCAAACACACAUACAAACAAUGCCACACCUAGAGAUGCAAACAUUAAAGCGGCACUGUCAUGCCGAACUUACCUUUCCUCAAUCUCUUCCUCUUCUCCCCCUCUCUCGGGAUCUGUUAUUCUUUUCUUCCUAUCUUCUUUAGUUUUCUUUAAAAUCAUAAGACAAAGUAGGGACUCUUUGCCUUAUGGAGGAUUCCUCCGCUUGACCAGCUCUGACCAGCGGAGGAGCAAAGUGUGCUUCAUUUCCGCUGGUCAGAGCAAUUUUCCCAUGAUUCUCACCUUCCCUCUGUGUUCCCACGAUGCUUCCUGUCACUUUACACAAAACUGCCGAAUUGCGUUCUAACUGAAUGAGAACAGUAUGUUCGUUUCUUUUAGAACGCAAUUCGGCACUUUAUUCGGAUCGGAAUUUCAUUCUAAUGAAUGAAACUCCGAUCCUAUUCUUGCUGUGGCUGCAUCUUGCAGCCGCUUAGUAGAUAACUCCCUAAUUCCCACGGUAUCAGGGAGUUAUCUACUAAAAGGCUGAAAGACCUAAAUUGGUCUUUCAGCCAAUUUACUAAUACUAAGUAAAGAUUACUUAGUAUUAGUAAAUUAAAUGCCCCUACUCGCUAUACCGCGAGUAGGGGCAUGUGUAGUAAGCAGUGAGCAGCUUAUAGCUGCUCACUGUAAAAAACAAAACAAAAAAAACUAAUAACCCCCCCCCACCCGUGGGGGCCCUAAAUAAAGAUGGGGGGGACCUACCUGGCCCCUGGCCCCCACCCCUGAGCGGUGGGUGGGGGCCCUAAAUAAAGAUAUGGGGGGGAACUUCUGUCCCCCCCCGGCCCCCACCCCUGCGCGGUGGGUGGGGGCCCUAAUAAAACAAUAAGGGGGGGGACCUACUGUCCUCCCCCCCUGGCCCCCACCCCUGAGCGGUGGGUGGGGGCCCUAAAUGAAACACCCCCCCCCCAAUCAAGGUGACUAGGGGUCCCAAGCCCCUAGUCACCAACCCCCCACCCAAAAAAACCUAUCCCCUACCUACCCCCCUCACCCUACAAAUAGUGAGGGGGGAAUAAAAUAACUAACCUGUAAAAAAAAAUUAAACUUACCAUUUGACGUCUUCUUUUUUCUAAAAUCUUCUUUCUUCAGCCCCCAAAAAGGCCAAAUAAAAAUCCAUUAUACCCGUCGCACUUUUAAAAAAAAAGAACCGGUGGGUUUAAGCCAAUGACCCCCAUAAGGCUGCUCACUGUUUAGUAGACAUGCCCCUACUCGCGGUAUAGCGAGUAGGGGCAUUUGGGAGAUUUUAAUCUCCCUUGUGCUAUUAUGGGGGUCAUAUUGACCCCCAUAGAGUUAGAGGGGGACCUGGGGGGGGCUUAUGAAGUGGUGGGGAGCACUGCUCCCUGCCGCUUCUAUCUUUACAUAUUACAAGGAGGGAGCUGCGUGCCGGUAGCUCCCUCCUUGUAAUAAACUGAACGAACAAACUAACACUGAUACAUUGUGUUAGUUUGUUCGGCUGAUAUUUCUAUUCACUCAUUCGUCUGUCUGAUGAAUGAAUGAAUAGCUGAAAUUCUCGUUCGCAUGUCCAGGUGUUUCACUGGGCAUGUGCGGGAAUCUCACAGUCUGCCUAGUGUGGGCUGAUGACGUGUCCCACAGGGACUUCACCUACCCAUACAAAGAUGGCGGCGCCCUGAAUCAAGAUCGGGGCAGAAAAUAAGGAUUAAAAAAUAGGUAAUGUGGGGGGCUUAGGGGCAUUUGGGGAUGACUAGUGGGUCAAUUGGAUGUAGUGGAGGCGGGAGGGGGGUUUAAAAAAAAAAAAAAAACGGGAUUCGGCAUGACAGUGCCGCUUUAACACAUGCAGGUGCAUCAACUACCACGCAUACAGAUGUACAGAUAGAAACACUGCCACACAAAGAUACAAUGACACAUGCAGAUACACACUGAUACAGACCUGUACACAAAUACUGAAACACAGUUGCACAGACACUGAUACACACUGGCACAUAUACAGAUGUACAGGCACACAGAUCUAAACAGUGACACUCAUACAGAUACAGACACCGUAACACAGUGACACACAUUCAGAUACGCACUAUGACACACCGAUAUACAAACUUCCAUAAUAACACAUGUAGAUACAGAUACAAAUACUGACACACAUGCAGUUGCAUAGGCACACUAUAUCUGCAUGUGUCAGUAUGUGCAUCAAACACUGAUACACACAAUGACAUACAUGCAGAUAGAUAAAAAUACAGACACUGAUACAAAUACAGAUGUACAGAGACAUAGUUGCGCACACACACUGACACAAAUGUACAGAUACAAAUACUGAAACACACACUGCUACACAUGUAGAUAAACAGAUCUAAACCCUUACACCUACAGUUCCACAGACACACUGAUACACACACACUCAUCCAAAGAAUGAUACAGUCACGCAUACAGGUACACACACUGACACAUGUAAGUACAGAUGGAAACACGGACACACAUACAGUUGCCAAUACACACUGAUACACAUACUGACACAGAUACGCCGAUACAGUGACACAUAUACAGAUACUCAUACUGACACAUACAGAUGUACAGGCGUGUGCGCGCACACACUUCUAUACAUGCAGAUAUGCAAACACUGACACACACACACACAGAUAUACAGACACACAGAUCCAAACCAUGACCUACACGCACACUAACAGAAUGCCGAUACAUAGACACAGAUACAAAUCCUAAAACAUAAUAUACAGACUCACACACACAAUGACACAUGUAGAUUCACAGACCCGCAGGUGCUCAGACACACUAAUACACAUGCAGAUACAGACACAUAGAUACACAUACUGACACAGAUGUACAGAUACGCAUAUACAGAUGCAGACGCACACACAUAUUGGGAACUCCUGCUUUAAGACAAAGACCUUAAGGGGGACACUCCGCUGCUCAAAUACAAAAUAAAAAUACCUGCAAUACCUCCAAAUAAAAACUUGCUUGCAUAUUUUUUUUCCUUUGCAGUGGCAUGUUCUAUACACAAAAACAUUAAUUUAAAGGGACACUAUAGUUCCUAGAACAGCUUAAAGUAAUUGUUCUGCUGUCUGUAGACCUUCCCAGCAGGCUUUUUAAUGUAAACACUGCCAUUUCAGAGAAACUCAUGUGCACUAUGUUCCCCUGUCUGUUAAAGUCAGAGGAGGAGCCCAAUCCCGCGCUUAUAGGCUUUGGAGCUGGACUCAAGUAAGUGACGUAAAACAUUUUUCAUUCAACCCUAAUCACACCUCCCAUGCAUGUGACCUACACACUUCCUAUAAAGAAAAGUCCAAUGUAAAAACUUAUAUUAUUGCAUAGUCUUUAGUUUGGAAUGUCCUCUCCUACUUUGUAAAUAACCUGCUAGAUCCUGCAGGAGCCUUAACAGGGCAGGAAACUGCACUGAUUGAAAAUGUAUUUCAUCUUUUCAUGAAGGCUGUGUGAAUCAGUCAUAGGUGUAAUUAUGGUUGCAAUUAUGGAGACAUGAUCUAUACACCAAAACUGCUUCAUUAAGCUAAAGUUGAUUUGAUGCUUAAAGUAUCCCUUUAAGUAGUCCAUAAUGCUUUCUGUGUAUGUUGAUUUUUACUUUAGUGAUCCAAUCAGAACAAUGUAAUUGAUUCUGGAAGAGUUAUUAUUGUGGGGAAAUCUAGAGCAUUUAACCCCUUCAGGACGUAGUCAAUAGUACACGUUCUGAUCAAAACAAAAUGUAAACAAAAACUGGAAUUUGCGCUAUGUCUGUUCAACCGUAAUUCACCUCUUUCAUAUUAUAUGCACCCAUACUACUUAUAUUUUGUUCAGGAGAAACAUGGCUUUCAUUUUAUAUCAAAUAUUUAUAUAUGAAACAAAACUUAUUAUGAAUAAAAAAAAAAAAAAGGAGACCUUUUUAAUUGUUUUUUUUUUUUUAUUGUAGUUCCACCUGUACAGCGCUGCGGAAUAUGUUGGCCUUAUUUAAUUAUAAUUCACAGUUUAGUGACUAACGGUGUGAUUUUAAUCUCUCUGCUAAAUUUAAUUCCUCUAAUAUAUUUUUUCUGCUUCUUCAAAAGAAGAUCAACAGGGAAAAAUCUAUUUUCUGCUGUUGUGGGGCCCCAUUAAACCAUUCUUCUCGUUUAACCAUUAACACAUCCACAUGGCAUGGUGAAAAAAAAAAUUCCUGGCACUUUGUGGGGGCAACAUUAUUUAUCAAUGUAUUACUUCAGAAGUUAUUUAAGUCAAAUUCGGAUAUCAUUUUUUCACAUUAUCUAAAAUUUUAAAUUUAUUAGAUGUCAGUAUAUGUGAGGAAAAUGAAUAUAUCUGAGACUCUUUUUAUCUAUAUUUGCUGCUGCAAAUGCAGCUUUUUUUGUAAAUACAGUAAACACACAAGUGCAAAACAAUUUGCUGCACUUUGACCAACAAUAUGGUCAAUAUUAUUACUAUAAGGCAGUAUCAUUUACUCCUACACACAUAUUCUGAGAAUUAAAAGAAUUAAAAUGGUGAGUUUUAAAUGUCAAAAGUUGGUUAUCAGUGCAAUGGCGCUACUUUAAAAACAGCAUUGAGUGAUAUUUCUAAAAUAAUAUUUCUAGGCAUUUAGAAGACGAUACAGUCUAUUUAGAUAGAAGGGAUUCAGGAAUAUGGGGUGUUGGGUAAGCGGUAUGAAACAUGGCUGAGAGUCCUACGGGUUAGGACAGUCUUAAAUUAGAGGGACAAAGGUUUAAAAAUAAUAUCAGGAAGUAUUACUUUACUGAGAGGGUAGUGGAUGCAUGGAAUAGCCUUCCAGCUGAAGUGGUAGAGGUUAACACAGUAAAGGAGUUUAAGCAUGCGUGGGAUAGGCAUAAGGCUAUCCUAACUAUAAGAUAAGGCUAGGGACUAAUGAAAGUAUUUAGAAAAUUGGGCAGACUAGAUGGGCCGAAUGGUUCUUAACUGCCGUCACAUUCUAUGUUUCUAUAAUUUAUUAUGAAUAAAAUAAGGAGAAAUUUGUAAAAAAAAAAAAUUUUUUUUUUUUUAAAUUGUAGUUCCACCUCACAUUUUAGCUGUAAAUGUCAUAAUACUGUUAGCUUUUACUCCAAAAAAAGCACAUAUUUGGACUCAGCAAAGUUUCACAAGUACAACAGUACCACCCACUAAGUUUUUACGGUGUUUUGGAAAGUUAAAGGAUCAAAUAUAGCACAUUCCAUUUUUCAGUUUUUUCACAUUGAAAUUUGCCAGAUUAGUAAUGUUACCUUUGAGACCGUGUGGUAGCCCAGGAAUGAGAUUUACCCCCCUGAUGGCAUACCAUUUGCAAAAGUAACCAACAGAUGUAUCACCAAAAGGUGAAAAACACAAAUAGUCAAAUAUUUUACAAUGAGUGGUACUUAACUUUAGAUCACGAAUAACAGCCUCCCUAGGUCAUUACCCAGAAGCGACCUAUAUCAUAUAUAGAGAACCACAACAAACAAUUCGGGAUAUGGCUGUGUAAAUCUACAGAAAAGACAUAAAAUAAAACAGUGUGGUAUUGUAACAACACAAUUUCGUUAUGCGCAGCAAUAUUUGCACUCACUAGAUGUAGAUAAGUGUAAGCGUUCUCAAGGUGCCUUCCCCGAUGUAAUGGGGGGCCAACAGAUCUCUCUGAUCACCUCCAGAUAAUUUUUCCACCACAGGACUUCCACAGGUCAGCAUAAAAAAAUUUAGAGACUUAUUCAAUAAAAAAGUAAGCAAUCAGCAUAGGAUAUGAAGAGCAGGAAAGAAAAAGUCCUACGCGUUUCGUUCUAAAUGGACUUCCUCAGGGACCGCAAUAAAAACAAUUGAAAUGUAUCAAUACAUGUUACAAACAAACAUAUGGUAAAAACCCUUCCCUGUGUCCUUAAAUAGGGCUAAUCUCUAAGUCCAUUGGUGGAUUCAGUGGGUGUGUAGAUCCUCUUCUAUUUGGAUUGGAGAAGAAAUCUUCCUUCAUCAGCUGUUUCUAGCUUCUCCAUAAAAUUGGAGCCCUUUUUCUGCAGUUGUUCUGGUGGUGAUGUGCCUUGUUUGCGGUGGUGGUCAGUGUAAGGUGUAGGCUAGCCUCUAGUGGGCGUGUUAACCUUCGGUGUAUAGCACCCUGGGGGGGGGGGGGAACGUUGUGAAACUGGGAGAUGUAGCAUAAACCUGAGUCAUUCAAAAACUCCAACGUAUUAACUAAACAGGUAUGUAAAUAUUGUGCCUGUGCGCUGUUUGUCAUGUGGCAUCUAUCGGGGUGCCUAUCCCUCGGGGUCCGAAGGGGACAGUCCUUGUCGGGUCCCAGGUAAGAGCGGUGGUGGGUGCGUCACGUGUGCCAGGUACCGGUGGGAGCCCCAAUGAUUGAAGGAAUGGGUCCGCCUCCUGUAUAAGGGUGAGUUUAAGAGUGGUACCAUUGCGGUCCACCGACAGGGUUUUAGGUAAUGUCCAGCGGUAGAUCACGUUGGCGUCAUGUAGGCGGUGGGACCUCCUCCACUGAAGGGUGGAUCUGGUCAGGUCCUGGUAGAAGGUGAGACUGGCAUUUUCAAAGUCCAGUGGUGUUUUGCCUCUUGUAGCGGCAAAAAUGUUGUUUCUAUCCGCUAAGGUUUGGCACCUCAGGAUCACAUCGCUGUUUGUUAGGGGAGUUACCUGUCUCGGUUUGCUGGUGCGAAAGGUACCUUUGUUUUAUGCAAAGGUCAGCUUCUUUGCCUGCGAGUGUGGUAAUAAGGUUGCAAAGAGGUGUCUGAGGUAGUGUGGUAGUUCAGAGUGACUUACAUCGUCAGGUAGGCCCCUUAUUUUUACGUUGUUUCUGCAGCAUCCAGUUUGUUGAGCAGGGCAGAGUGGGAGGUUUGAAGUUGCAUUACUGUUUCUUUAAGGCCUCUCACCUCGUGCUACACGUCCAAAAUGUCCUCCUCCUUGGUUUGCAUGCGGUCUGUCACCGCCUGGACCUCAGUGCGCAUUAAGGUCACGUCAGCCGCAGACAUCUGUUUCAGCUCUGCCAGGAGGUUUCUAAUGUCCAGUUUGGUGGCUGGGGUAAGUGCAUCGGGAUACGGAUGCACGUCUAUGUGUGACUGUGGGUCUGUCAUUACCCCCGAUGGUUGCUCCAAUCCUGCAGAGCUGAUGUCCUGUUCAGGCAUGGCGGCUAUCUUUGGUGCCGCGGGGCGCUGCAGCAUUGUGCUGAUGUCCUGGGUGUUUGUACCUCCGCCUGUGGCUGCUCGUUGGGAUCUCCGUCCCAACGGUUGUCCUGCUCUCCGUAGGUGGUGUGAGGACCGGGAUCACCGCGUUGCGUAGCGCAGCUUUGAGGGCCUCGUAUGCGGGGUAGGCCCUGACCUUGCAGUGUAUUUUCUUACCGGUCUGUGGGAAUCGGAAGGGCAUCGGUCGGUCAGUACUGUUUCCCCCUUGCUCUGCUGUAUGAUUUUUCUGGCUGGAUCGGCUUGUUCGGCUCGGUUAGCCGUUGAUUUUUCUCCGGUUGGGCCCCCCAUUCUAAGUGUAUUUUAAUACUAAUAUAUGUACUUAUAUUAAUAUUAAAAUAAAUUACGUAUGACGUUACAUUAUAUAUAUAUAUAUAUAUAUAUAUAUAUAUAUAUAUAUAUAUAUAUAUAUAUAUAUAUAUAUAUAUAUAUAUAUAUAAAAAUAAUGUGUGUGUAUGUAUAUAUGUGUAUGUAUGUAACGUCAUACGUAAUGUAUUUUAAUAUUAAUAUAAGUACAUAUAUAAAAAUAUUAAUAUAAGUACAUAUAUUAGUACACUUAGAUAUUGUGUGACAGAAUACUGUAAUAUAUCACAUUAUAGUAGGAACCAGGAUAAACUCCAGGGAGCCUGAAUGUUGGCCACUAGCACUUUCAGCUUGACAAUAUGGGGUUAAGCUAGUAUUAAGAUAUAGAUUGUGUUAUAUGAUGCACUUUAGGGUCCUGAUUGGACCUGUGACAAUUAUUAUUUUUAGUAUUAUGUCUUAUUUUAUGAUUAAUUUAAGUGUUAAUUAUGGACAUGUACGUUGUAGAAGGGAGGAGAGUAUGAUGACAUUCCCCAGAAAAUGUUUUCUGAUAAAUAUGUAUACUUGUGAGGAAUGCUGGUAAUCCUGCUUCCCAAUCGCAGGUCAGACACUCAGACUGGGGGAACAAGCUCUCUGCGCAUGCGCCAGCAUCUCAUUGACUACCGAGAAUGCUGGCGUCCAGGAAGUACACUGAAAGAUGAGUGAUAGACGCUAUCAGCGUCACGAUCUCCAUGGCAACGACGUCACGUGUUGAUGACGUCAGCGCAAUCAAUGAGACGCUGAAUCCCGGUGGUGCCUGUCCUGACACCCGAGAGGAGAGGAGGCCAGCCUCUUACACACCUGAAUUGUAAGUUCUUUUUUUGAUGUUCUUAUUUAAACUAAGUUUGUUUCGUUUGUUUUAUGUUUGCUGUCCUGAUGAAAGCUCCCAAGUGGAGCUGAAACGUCGACCUGUAAAGUGAAGAAUGAUCUCUUUUUUACAAAACCUGGGAGUGCUGAUUAUUUCAGAGAUAUAUAUAUAUAUAUAUAUAUAUAUAUAUAUAUGUGUAUUUACAUUUUUUUUUUUUUACUACUUCCCACCAGCAGGGGAGCAGGGGGACUGUCUGACAUUUCAGACAGUCCCCCUGCUGGCAGAUCCACAUCCAGCUAUAGGGGGCCAUGUGAUCGCUCUUUGAGAGCGAUCACAUGGCCCCCGGGGGCCUUAUUUGCCGUGGGAGGGCCGCCUGCCUGUCAGGCAGUCCUCCAGAAGAGGAUCGCGGCGGAGGUAUGUAAAUUGGAGCUGCUGGGGCUGCAAGCCGUUUCGGCUUUCAGUGCUGCUGCAACGGCUUUAAAGCCGUAACAGCGUUAAGGGGUUAACAUAUUUGCCAGGCCCUGGACAAAUGGAAUCUUUGUUCUGUAGACCUAGUAAUAUAAUCCAUUUAAAGAAAAACAUCCAGCCAUAACAUCAUAAGGAUAUUAUGCAAUUCAACUCUUUACUAGGGGAAGUCACACUUUGUUUAUAAUUGUAAAGAAAUAAAAUAUACAUUUUUCUUCGUUCUGGACUUACUUAUGAUUUUGCCUGAGUUGAAUUUACAAAUUCAGCAGCUAUGGGGACAAUCUCUAUAUGUAUGCCCCACCACUUAAAAUCAAUGCAGUGGACUUUUUGUUAAUGCUUUGAAAGAAAUUAAAUUUUAAAAUUUGUAUUUUGUUUUUGCAAAACAAGAAGUUUCAAAUGUAGAAAAACACAGCAUUGAAUAUGUGCACUCAAGAUGACUUGGAAUGUGGAGUAUUUUUUUAAAUUAUGUUUGUGUAGUCUGAAAAAUAAAAUUAAUAGGGUUAUUCACUAAAGUGACAAUUCAAAGUGAAUUUCAAAUUUUAUAACAUGACAGGAGGCUUCAUAUUUGCUUCAGUCUCUCUUUACUAGAACGCCACAGCAGCACAUUAACACAGAGAAAAGCAACCAAUCAGAAAAAAAGUAAGGAAACCAUAAAAGGCCUCUCCCAACCAACUACUUCCUCUUUCUUUGCUGCUCCACAUCAAGCACAGGUCAGAGUACCACUGCCUCCUGUUUCAUAUGGGUGACUGUGGAUCUUUUUAUUAUUUAUUCUGUCUUGCUUUAUUGACCAUAUCUGUAUUUGUAUGUUUUUGUUUUUGUGGGGUUUUGCAUUGUUUCCCUGCUUUGGAGUGUACUGCUGUGGGUUUUUCUGACCGUUGGGGACUGGAGUAGCUCUAUCCUGCCUACCCUCUCUCUCUAUUCCUCUUCCUUUACUCUCCCCCUCCCCCCCCCCCGUCCCGCUUGUUUGCCUUUCCCGGUUGCCGGGGAGCGGUUCUCUCCUGUUGCCGACCGCCAGGACUGCGGAGCAUGACUACAGUGGUCCCAUGUGUUGGCCCCUGUCCGCCGAGCGGGGGCUGUCUCCAUCCCUCUCAUAGCCCGCGCUUCCGUCCGCGGUGUCAACUUAACCGUGGCUUGGGGGUGGCUGGCCAUGUAGGAGCAGUAUCUCCCGGCCUCCUGUCACUCACCCUCCCGCGGCCUCGUGGGGCGAGCUGGGAGGGUUUCUACUCAUGUCGAUAUAAUUUGGGAUUAUGUGUUUCUAAGAAUUUAAAGCUGUAUACACUUUUUUUUUUUUUCUUGCUUGUUUAAUGGAGUUAGUGCCUCCUUAUUUGUGGGGUUAUUACUGACUGGUGGGGUUAGGUCCUGUGACGGACCCGCUGGCACUCUGACAGAGUACGUCCGACAAUCGAUGCUCCUAAUGCUUGCCGAGGACUCCAAGCACUCCAACAGACACCAUCAGCACUGCAGACUUAUCCCUUCACCAAGCAUGAGCCAAGGCUUCAAGAAAGGGUCAAUCAGGUCUGUUUUAAUGAGCACACAAAAGCAACAGCACUCAUGCAGCAAAACUCCUCCUCCUCAGAAGAAAACAAACUGACAGUUAAGUUCAGUCAGUGUUUGAAUAUAUGACAGUUAUUGGAAGUUGCUGAACUGUGCCAGUACCAUUUAAAGGGCCAGAACAGUCUUUUAAAACACCAAUAAGUCCAAAUGGUGUUUCUAAUUGGCAAAAUCUCCCAAAGACCAUAGUCAUACGGCAAGAGGCUGGUAAUAAGUCCUCUCCAGGCACAAGUGGCGAAGGGCACUUCGUCACUUCCCUCUGGGGGGGAGACUAACCAGUUACCUGACCUUCUGUCGGUCAGUACCUGAGUUAGUCGAGUAGCCCACCCACAAUACACCAUUACCGCUCCUGUCCUGGUGUCCGACUCUGGCCUGUAUGUCCCAGGUUACUGAGGGGAGCUAGUGGGCAGAGGCCAGCGGCGCUCUGCCCUGAUGCCAGCGCUUCUGCUGGAAGGGGGUCAGUGGAGGCCAACAUCUCCACUAAACCCAGUACCGGGUUAGGGGCUGGCUGUGGAGGGGAGGGGUCGAGUACCUCCCCCUCCUGGUACUCCUGCUACUGCUGGGGAGCGAGACUGGUUGUCUCCUCUCCCUGGGGCUCCAACUGCAGUUGGGGAUCUGGGCCAGCUGCCCAGCAUCCCUGUAGGCCUGGUGGAGAGACCUCGAUCCCAUCUCCACCUGCCGUUUGGGGGUCCUCCAAGGACCAAUCCAUGAGGUCCCCUACCUCGGCUACCUCUGGUUGCUGUUGGGGAGGGAGACCGGUUGUCUCUUCUCCCACUCGCACAUUCAGCUGCUAGGGAAGGGAGGCCAACUGUCUCCUCUCCCGAUAAGACAUACUGCUGCUGGGGAGGAAGGACGACACCUUCUGCUCCCUGGGAGGCACACUGCUGCUGGGGAAGGAGACCAAUUGUCUCCACUCCCUGUAGGAUACACUGCCGCCGGGGGACCAGUUGUCUCCUCUCCCUGUGAGAUAUACUGCCGCUGGGGUGUAGGACCGCCUGUCCUUACUCCCGGUACUUCCAGCUGCAGCUGGGGAUCUGGGCCGACUGCCCAACAUCCCUGAAGGGCCGGUGGAGAGACCUCGGUCCCAUCUCCACCUGCCAGUUGGGGUUCCUCCCAGGACCAGUCUAUGAGAUUCCCAAAGGACCACCUGCCUCCUCUAUCUGUAGCUCAGGUUGCAACUGGGGAUCUGGGCCGGCUGCCCAGCAUCCCUGUAGGGCCGGUAGAGAGACCUCGGUCCAAUCUCCACCUGCCUGUUGGGGGUCCACCCAGGACUGGUACCUCUGGUUGUUGCUGGGGAAGGAGACCGUUGUCUCUUGUCUCUGCACGGUGCACUGCCGCUGGGAAGGGAGACCGGUUGUCCCCAGCCCCAGUCUCCACAAUCUGAACUCACAUUCCCGUGCUGCUUGGUUCUCCUCAUCCAGCUCUUGCAUAAUAUGGACGAUCACCUCUUCUGAAGGGUCUGGGCCAUACUCGACUAGCCGCCUCUUUACCUCCGAGAUGUAAGCGUCGCCCUCAUAGCAAUAGGUCAUGUUUGCUUGGCCCCACUGUGGGCCACUAGCGCUCCGAUCCGUGCCUUGGUUUCCGCUGUAGACAGGGGUGCUGCACGAGUGCUAGUGUCGCCCUCACUUGUAGCUCCGUAACGUUACCAGUGUCUCCGAGUUGCUUCUCCUCACGCUAGGACGCCAUCCCACCGCUUGUAACCAAAUGUGACUGACCCGCUGGCACUCCGACCGAGUACCUCCGCCAAUUGAUGCUCCUAGUGCUUGCUGAGGACUCCAAGCACUCCAACCGACACCAUCAGCAGUGCAGACUUAUCCCUUCCCCAAGCAUGAGACAAGGCUUCAAGAAAGGGUGAAACAGGUCUGUUUAAUGAGCACACAAAAGCAACAGCACUCAUGCAGCAAAACAACUCCUCCUCAGAGGAAAACAAACUGACAGUUAAGUUCAGUCAGUGUUUGAAUAUAUGACAGUUAUUGGAAGUUGCAGAACUGUGGCAGUACAAUUUAAAGGGUCAGAACAGUCUUUUAAAACACCAAUAAGUCCAAAUGGUGUUUCUAACUUGCAAAAUCUCCCAGGGACCAUAGUCAUACGGCAAGAGGCUGGUAAUUAGUCCUCUCCAGGCACAAGUGGCGAAGGGCACUUUGUCACAGGUCCUCAUACCCAUUGGUUUCUGCUCAAUACUGUAUCAUUUGGGAUUAUGUGUGUUUCCAAGAAUUUUAAAGCUGUAUACACGUUUUGUAUUUUUCUUGCUAGUUUAAUGGAGUGAGUGCCUUUAUUGCACACUCCUUAUUCUGGGGUUAUUACUACCUGGUGGGGUUAGGUCCUCAUACCCCAUAUUCUUGGGAUAGUAAGAAGACUUAUAAUGGUGGGGGACACAUUUAGAGGCCGCACAUCCCUCUACAAUUUAGGCCUUCCCUGGUCUGCCAGAGUUUUCUACCACUAUUUUCUGCAAUGUCUGUGGAUUCUAGGUCCCUUCAAUUUCUGCAUGCCUACAGGUCUUCUGCACACUCUGAUUGGCCUCCUUUUACUGCGCCACAAGGAUUGGCCUGCUUUGUAUGUUCCAUUAUCACUGUACGCCUGGCCUGUCGGCUCAGCGUUCACACUUGGGCCCUGCAGGUGCUACCAUACUUGCCUCUGACACUAAAUGGGUUGCUACGGCAAUGCGUCAAGGCCCGACAUUAUCGGCCUCACAUUCCAGGCGCUGCUGCUUGUCAGGUGCAGGGGAGGAGACCUCAAUACCCCCCUCCCCACCCAUGGCCGUCCUGGAUGAAUGGCGGGCGGACCAGUCCCCCUCGGAGGAGGAAAUUGAGUGGGAUGAGGACUAUGGGGAUGACCCUAAGUGGCACCGUGAGGCUGAGGACGCCUCCAUGCCAGGGACGAUGGGUACGGCCGUGGACGAAAACACUUUCCUGGACGCCAUCGGCAAACUCCUGUUCGACCCUCGGUCCAUUCAACACCCCAGGUCCUCCAACUAGUCCUUUCCAGACCAUUUGGCACACUUCGUGCAUUACUGGGUCUCCCAGCCUCUGGAUUGGGAAGUUUGCAGAAAACUUCGGGCGGAAUGCCCCAGGCCUGUACUGCCAGAUGAGGUCGACACAACCCAGGAUUCAAUGCCUUGAUUUCCACGUGCAUGGACCGUACUGGACGUGAUCCCAAGAAAGGGGUCUGGCGCAGAACAAACUGCUAGACAUGCUUGGUCCCCUAUGCAGGAUGCUAAGGCUGGCAGACGAAUCCUAUUCGGAAGGGGCUACCUUGGACUCGACCACCAUGCGGGUGGCUUUGUGCUCUGUUUACCUGCUGGGCAAUACGUAUGUGGCACUUUCCACGGACUGCAGGAAGGCGGUCCUUUUCCAUAUGGACAACAAAUUGUCGGAUUUGGGGUCAAAGGAAUUGGGCUCCCUGGCUAAAGGUCUUCUGCUCAGGGAACCUUUCAUAAAGGAGCUGCAUGAACAAGGCUCAGACCUCCAUGAAGAGGGUUUUUCGCUCACAGACUUCACGGGUUUUUGGCAGGGCUGGACAACAACGGGUCAUGUCUCCAGGCGCUUUUGACCUUCUGGUUGCCGAGGAUCCCGUGGACCAUUGUUCUUCCCCUCCUACUCCAAGAGGUCGGACAGAGGUAGAGGAAAUCGAGCCAGAGGACGUGCAAGAUCAUCUUCAGGUGAGAGCAACGCCUUCCGUUUCUCCCUUUCCCCUGUUGCAGGCGGGCAGACUGUUUCACUGCAGGGUCAGGUGGCGGGAGGUGUCCAUGGGUUCUACGGACGGUUCGGGUAUAGGUCAUAGACUUUCCCCCUCCGAAUCAGGUUCGGCCUCCAAGUUCCCGUUUCCUCACGGGUGCAACUAUUACAGGGAGGCGGGCCCUGUUCGACAAGGGCCCAGUCCAUUGGUCUCCGGACACGCAGGGUUUUUUCAGCUUUUUCUGAAAAAGUCCAGAGAGUUCCGCCCGGUGUUUAAAUCUGCGGAACCUGAACGAGAUUGGAUCGGAAGGGCGCUUACCUCUCAGUCCUGGUGGCACAGAGUGCCUAAGAUUCCUCCAUUUCCUCUGGAAGGGCAGACCUUGCUAGUUCACCUCUUACGUUCGGCCUCAGCUUGACUGUGUGGUGCGUCACCAAGCUAUUGAAACCAGUGCUUGCACGACUCCGGUCAGAGGGUGUCGGUUGUAUCAUCUACCUGGACGAUCUGCGGAUCUUCUGCGAGGAGCCCUCCAGGCUAAAGUGUCAAACGCGCUCUGUGGUCUCCUUGUUUGAGUCCCUGGGUUUCGUGGUCAACCAGGUGAGGUCGGCUCUCUCUCACUCCCAGGUGGUCGAGUUCUUGGCUUUCGAAAUAGACGCAAGGGACUCCAUCCAAGAUAGUGACCAUUUGAAAGGAAAUGAGGUGGGUUCUACAUCAAGACCGGAUCACACUACGGAUGUUGGCACGCGUGGUGGGUCUCCUCUCUUCUUCAAUCCAGACUAUCUGCCCGGGUUUCCUCCUUUACAGGGCCAUGCAGCGUAUGAAAGCCCAUUUUCAAUGCAGGAGACCUUCCUACGACUAAGGGAUUCCCCUCUUUCUGGACGUGAAGACCGUGUUACAGUGGUGGCUCCUUCACAUGUCUGCCUGGAACGGCAAAGCAAUUUUGGUCCAAUUCCGGAUUUCGUGCUAGAGUCAGAUGCAAGUCUUUGGGGUUUGGGAGCCACCUGCGAGACUAGCCCCACAGGGGGGUCCAUGGUCAGAGAUGGAAACGGUGUUCCACAUCAACUGCCUGGAACUGAUUGCGUGUUCGUUCGCGUUUCAGAGACUGGCGAGCCACCUUUCAGAUUGCUAUAUCCUCAUACGGUUGGCCGAUGUCUCGGGGGUACUAUAAGUCAGCCGCCUGGGAGGAACCCGCUCUCGGAUCCUCUCUGAGGUGACAGAGAUUUACAGCUUCUGUUUCCAACGCAACAUCACCGUUCAGGUGGAGUAUCCACCACAGGAGCCGAACAUGACGGCGGAUUGGUUCUCCAGACAUUGGAGGGACGCCAGCGAUUGGAGGUUCUUUCUUCCCAUCGUUCUUCAAGAUCAAAGACCAGAGGGGUCCGUUCACCUCCCGGACGAUCUUUUAGGUCCCGGCCUACUUCAGCUGGCUCCCGGAGCCGGUUUGCUCAGCGGUGGACGUUUUUCCUUCAAGUGUGGCCGUCACGGGAGCCUAUGCGUUUUCUCCAGUUGCUAUGAUACCCAGGGUCUUGCUGCAAGUUCAACGUCUUCAUGUGUCUUUGGUGUUGCUGACUCCACUAUGGCAGAGUCAAGUCUGGUUCCCGGAGCUCCUCUAUCUGUCUCAUCUGGACCCACAUCUGGACCCCCUUCUGAGGAUUUUUUCGGACUCCCGGGGCAAUCCUCAUGCUCCCGUGAUGGACGGUCUCCUUCGCCUGAUGGCCUGGUGUCUUUGGUGCCUGGUAAGGGAUACAGAUUCCUUUACGGAUCCUGGGUCCAGCGUGCUGAUUUUUGUCAGGUCUGUUUGACCUGGGACGCUGGUAUCGUUCGGUUUAUAUAGCUAGAUUGGCAAUUUUGACGGCUCAAUUACCGCUUAGAGGGCUUCCCAUCGGUCGGGACCCGCUGGUUUGCAGGCUUCUCCGAGGAAUGAGAUGGUCGCGAUCUGCGAUACCGAAGUAUUACUCUCUCUGGGACGCACCGUUGUUGUCGUUCCUCCAGGAUUGGCCGGAUUGUCAAGCCCUUUCCCUUUGUCAACUUUUGGCUUGAUUUGCCCUCUGGCUAUGCCUUUUUUUUUUUUUUUAGACGUGUUUUAGACAUAUGGCCUUCAAUGUUGACAAACCAGUCUUGUCUCCUACUUGGGCGCGCUGGAUUCAAUGGUUGUUGGCUUUAGUGGGGGGUGAAUUCGAUCUUUGGAGCGCAUUCGGUUAGAGGCGCCUUUAUCGCGGGCGCAUCUUUCCAGGACAUCAUGCGUUCAAGCCUACUGGUUCUGAGAAGAUAAAUUUUGCAAAUUUUAUUUUAGACAGGCGCAUCAUGCUGCUUUUGUUUUGCUGUCUGAGCGUUAAAACAGCAAAUAUGAAGCCUCCUGUCAUGUUAUAAAAUUGUAGAUUAUACUAGCUUUAGUGUAACUAUAAUAAAAUUUAAGAUUAAUGACAGGAGGUGAAUAUUUCCCUCGCAGUUUUCACCCUUCCCUGGUACCUUGUUUGUUUUAUUUGACUACCUCUAGUCGAUAGUCUGUUCUCCAGAACUGUGUUUAGGUAGGUCAAUUAUUUGCCUUCCUGAGGGAAGUCGGCGUGUGAUAUUAAGGAUGUUGUACUGUCUGUAAUUGAUUAUGGGUCUUCAUGAUUUCACAGUACAUUUUAUUAACUAAUCAAUGUUUUCGACUCUGCUUUUCUCGUUCCAGUAUAAUGGUUCGUCUACAGAUCCAAGUUCAAGGCUUUCUUCAGGAUAGAGUUCAAGGAUUUAUCUACUGUUCCACGUUCAUUUCGAGUUUGGAUGAAGUCAUUAGCUGACUUUGUUUGAGUCCUUAUGAUUCUGCUAUUGAGUUAUUCAUGUACUUUGUUUUGUCACAGCUUGAAAGAGGAAGUAGUUGAUUGGGAGGGGCCUUUUUAUGGUUUCCUUAAUUUUUUCUGAUUGGUUGUUUUUCUCUGUGUUAAUGUGCUGCUUCUAGUAAAGAGACUUAAGCAAAUAUUCGCCUCCUGUCAUUAAUACAUUUAGGAUUAUAGUUACACUAAAGCUAGUAUAAUCUACAAUUCAAGGCCAAAGUAGCUGAACUGAAAGCAUUGCACAGAGACAAGAGGGAAAACAUGCACACCGCACCUCCAUGUCACAUUUUCAAGAGAAGGCAAUCCUUUGUAUUGCAAAUGGAUUAUUUUGAGUUUUGUGGUGUAGCCUGUUUAUCACAAGUACUGGCCACAUUUAGUGUUAGUAUUGCACAUUUAUUGCAAUGCAGCCUCAAUAUUAUUUAAAGUAUCACUAUAGGGUCAGGAACAAAAACAUGUAUUCCUGACUAGGGAUUCACCGAAAUGAAAAUUCUGGGCCGAAAACUGAAGCCGAAAAUGACCUUUUUUUUUUUUCCCAAAUGAUUUUAAAUUUAUUUUUUAUUUUUUCUAGAAUUUUAUUAGUCUUUUUAAUGAAUUUAAUCUAAUAUGAAAAACUUGCCUUCUCUCCCGCUUAAUGUUCGUCUAGUGUUUCUUCCCCCCCUCUUUUUUUAGUGUUCUUUCCUCCUUCCUCCCCAGUCACAUAGUGUUCUCUCUCUCCCCCCCGUCUCAUAGUGUUCUUUCCCAUAGUGUUCUUUCAUUGUGAUCUGUAAUCAUCUAAAUUCUUAAUGCAAGCAUGUUUGUUAAAGUAUGCACUACAAAAAUAUCAUAUAUAUAUAAUUUUUUUUUUUUUUUUUGGCAAAUUUGACCCAUUUUCGGCUGAAAUUUUAGCAGCCGAAUUUUGGGCCAUCCCUAUUCCUGUUACUGUAGUGCUAAACCCACCAUUUAGGUGGCUUGCCCCCCUAUAAAAGUUUAAAACUCACCUUAUUUUUUCAGCGGCGCUGGCUCUGCCCCAUUUGUGACAUCAUCGAAAUAGCACGGGGCGGGCCAAAUGCCAUUUUGCCCAUUCAGGAAUUGAAUCAAUGCAUCUCUAUGAGGAAAAGUCAGCGUUUCCACGCAGAGCCGGCCGGGCCGGGUACAGUAAACUGAGUCUCCUGUACCGCGCUGUGCACUGCUCUGCUCGGCCACGCUACAUAAAAGGUAGGAGACUUACUGGGGCCUGGGGAGGGGGAAGAGAGAGGGGCACUAAUGGCGGUUGGAUGGGUGGUAAGGCACACUAUGGGGGCGGGGGGGGAGUGGGUGUUCCACCCUAUAGCUAAUCAAUGUCCUCUUAUUCUCUGCACCCUUUCUUGACAAGCUGUACACAGAGGAAUUGGACCAGGGUUAAAAAAUUAAAAUAAUAUUGGAAAAAAAACUGAAUAUAUUUUAAAAUGGAGUAGAAGAAUUGGAGUUGGCAGAAUGAACGAAUAAGAUGUAGUAACAGGGGAAAUGAGGGGCAAUAAUGAAAGGAGAAAGAGCAAAUAAAUGGAAAGUUACCAUGUAGAAUUUAGGAAUAAAAUAAUGGAGGUGGGUAGUUUAAAGAAAGGAUACAUUAAAUGAAAGAGGCUACAGCUACAGUGGGGCAAUAAACAGGUGUGUGAAGAAAAUAAAAAAACAGACCGGAAAUAAAAAGGUAUUCAGAUAAAUGAUGAGACAGGGGAGGAGAAUGGGUGGUAAGGAACACUGUGGGAUGGGGAUGGGGGGGAAGAACACUAUAUGGAGGAGGGGAGUGGGUGGUAAGGAACACUUUAUUUAAAAAAAAUAAAAAAAAUUCUACUCUAAAAAUUAGGUGCGUCUUAUAGAGCGAAAAAUACGGUACAUUAGGAUCAAUGCACGUAUUAUUUUUGCCUAGUUGCUUGGCUGUAGAUAAUGCCCUACUUAGUGUGGGAGUGGUGGAAGAUGGAGUUGUGAAGGUAACUGUAUUGGGUUUUCUGUAGAGUGAGGUGUGGAUUGGCCAUUGGUGUAGCCCACAGUAGUUUCCAGAUUGUCUAUAGAUUUUUUUUUUUUUUUUAAAUAUUUUUUUAUAUAUAUAAUUUUUUAAUGUAUUUCUUUUUUUUAUUUUUUUAUUUUUUUUAUUUGAAUACUAAAUUUUUAAUGUAAUGUGUGAAAUUAGUUAAAGGCCAUGGAGUUGCGGGUUUUUCCUCACUUUAGGUCCAAAUGAGGAUCUCAUUGAAGUAUUGGUUAUACUUGUAUGGCUUGUUAUGCUCUGUUUCUAGGAAUCUGUUCUAGUACUGCCAUGAACAGAUUAGAAUAUCGGGAUCUACUGAUAUCCAUACCGGUCCCCACGGUUUGUAGAUAGACCUUGUUGAAACUGAAAUAAUUGUGUGCAGAUGAAUAGUGCUAGUUCUGUAUUGGUUUUUUUUGGUUAUGGGUGUAAGAGAGAAAGUGAAAACAAACAAGCAAUGACAUGAUAAUACAGACUUAUGUAAGGUUGUGACAGUAUAAUGUCGGUUUAUGGGUUGCAGAAAGCAAAUUUGGGUAGUUAGUACAGUCACUAUACAAACAUUGUGCGACAUGUUUGCAUUGUCAUCAGGAUUUUAUGUUUUCAAACAGGUGCAACUAUAUACAAUGGCAGUAUGUUUGAGGAGUAGGCUUUGUUGGCUGAUAGCCGCGAUGAGACUCUUAUUGAAGGACAAAAGUUUCAAGGUUGUUAAAGACAGUGGUGAUAUAGUUACUGUACGCAUUAAUGUCCUCAAUCUUUCGAUAGGCGUGUGCUAAUUUACACCAGUCCCCCUGAGCGGUCUGCUAAUCUUAGCUGUACUCUAGCCUUUCUCUCCUCCUACUGGGUUGCAAGUCUAGCGUGCUUGCAGAAUGGAUAGAAAGGAUAGGAAAGUACAGAAGAAGAAUAUAGUGUGAAAAAGAAAUCCUAAGGUAGUAAAAAGGAGUGAUCUCUUGGUGGCCAGGGACAGGUGUUUGUCAGUCAUCUCCGUAAGCCUUAGUGGUCUGGCCCUGUCUUGGCGUUGGCCAGAUACCAGUCCGUUAGUGGUGCCGCUGCCACCCGUCGGGGUUCUGGUAUGUCUAUGGCAGUGGAGUGAAUCCCAUCUGUUUCCGCCGGUGAGUACAUUGUGGAUGCUGCCACGCACCCCGGGCCGAGGUCCUAUGUGUCGUUUUGCUCCCACAGAUCCCAUACCUUGUGGAAAGUGUUCAGCGUGUUCCUCACUUGGGCAGUAAGUUUAUCCAUUAAGUUACAUAGUUACAUAGCUGAAAAGAGACUUGCGUCCAUCAAGUUCAGCCUACCUCACAUUUGUUUUUUGCUGUUGAUCCAAAAGAAGGCAAAAGUUUGAAGCACAAUUUUGCAACAAGCUAGGAAAAAAAUUCCUUCUUGACCCCAGAAUGGCAGUCAGAUUUAUCCUUGGAUUAAGCAGUUAUUACCCUAAAUUGAAAGAUUAUAUCCUCGAAUAUUCUGUUCUUGCAAGUAUGCAUCUAGUAGCCGUUUGAACAUCUGUAUGGACUCUGAUAAAACUGUAUGGACCGUAAAAAAACCUUUCCUUUGCCUUAGACGAAAUCUUCUUUCUUCCAGUCUAAACGCAUGGCCUUGUGUCCUAUGUAAAGUCCGGUUUGUGAAUAGAUUUCCACACAAUGGUUUGUAUUGGCCCCGAAUAUAUUUGUAUAAUGUAAUCAUAUCCCCUCUCAGGCAACGUUUUUCUAAACUAAAUAGGUUUAAAUUUGUUAACCUUUCUUCGUAGCCCACAACUUUGCCCUAACCAGGGAUAUCUGUGGGGGAUCCGGGCAGGACCAUUUCUGUGCUAUAGCUCUAUGGGCUGCCAGAUAAGAGUUUUUGUUCAUGCUUGGAGAGACCCUCUGUGGGUCUUGAUAGUAGGCAUGUCCACGGGUCCAGGGCCAUAUGUUUUUGUAAAAUUUGUAUUAUUGUAUUGUAUUAAGUUGGUUGUACAGUAGUGUAAUAAGUUUGGAUUGUGUGGUUUCAGUAUAGCACAGUUUUUCAAAGAAAGUCAGUGGUGUCAGGGCUGCCUUCUUUACUUCGGGUCUCUGUGCAAAAUCUCGGAUUUGUAGGUACUUGAAGUAGUCUCGUGUUCUGAGGACGGCUUUAGUACUCAGGUGUGUAUAUGUGACACUGCCUUGGUUAACAAAAAGGUGGAUGUAUCUUUGUGGCCCUGUGGCCUCUAUCCCUCCGUAGUCCCGGGCUCUCAUUCCCGGUGGGAACGCCCUAUUCCUGAAAACUGGCGUCAUGGGGGAGCUUAGGGAGUAUUUCGUUUUAGUCUGGUCCCGUAUCUGUAUGGAGUGAAGUAUGGCCGGGUUUGUAGUUCUUAGAAUGGCUCUCUGAGUUCUAGGUACCCAUAUGAAGAACUACGGGAGGUCCAUUCCCGUCAUCAGCGACUCCACGUCGACCCAGCGUCUCUUAUCUGGGGGUGUGUGCCAUUGUAUAACUUGGGUUAAUUGUGCUGCCAAGUAAUAGUUAUAUACAUUAGGUAGCCCCAGUCCCCCUCUAGGUUUUGGUCGGUACAUGAGAGUACGUGCUAGUCUCGGGCGCUUAUUAUGUCAAAUGAAGGAGUCUAUCGCCCGCUGUAUGCUCGUCAGGUCCCCUCGCGUUACUCUUACCGGGAGUGCCUGAAAGAGGAAAAGAAGCCUCGGUAGCACAUUCAUUUUAACAGAGUGUAUGCGCCCCAGCCAGGAUAUAGGCCUGUCUGUCCACUGGUCCAGUUCCGUGGUGAGGGUCUGAAGUAGAGGUUUGUAGUUGCGGGCGUAAAGAGUUGAUGGGUUUGCUGUUAAUCGUAUCCCCAGGUACAUAAAUUCUUCUGUGUGUAUCUUUAAGCGAUAUUGACUGCGUAUUCGCGCUAUGUCUGGGGUUGCUAAAUGAAAGGGCAUUGCUACUGAUUUGGUGUAGUUUAUCUUAUAACCUGCUAAAUUCCCAAACUGUUCUAUAGUAGUGUUAAGUGGUGAAGUGAGUUCAUUGGGUCACCGAGUGUCAACAUGACGUUGUCUGCAUAAGCAGAUACUGUGAAUGGUGUGCCUCUGACCUCAAUUCCCUUAAUGUGUACGUGCUGCCGUAUGGCUUGUAAAAGCGGCUCUAAGGUUAGAGCGAACAGUAAGGGGGGCAAGGGACAUCCUUGUCUGGUGCCGUUACCAAGAGUGAAUGGCGUUCUAUGCGCUCGUUAUGAGUAUUUGUGCCCAUAUGUCAGUGUAUAGUGCCUGUAUUGCCGUUACAAAUGGUUCCGGGAAUCCCUGAAAGUGGAGCAGCCUGAAUAGGUAAGGCCACAGCACUCUGUCAAACGCCUUCUCUGCGUCUAGGGAGAGUGCGAGAGAAGGCGUCUUGGACUCCACCAUGUACCACAACAUGUCAACUCCCCGUCUAGUAUUCUCGUAAAGUUGUCGCCCGGGUAUGAAACCUUCCUGAUCAGGGUGGAUCAGGCGCAGGAGGAGGGGCGUGAGUCUGGAUGCUAAGAUUUUAGCAAAUAUUUUGAGAUCGGUAUUAAUGAGUGAUAUCUGUCUGUAACUAGGAGCCAGUGUGUCAUCUUUAUCCGGUUUUGGCAGGAGUACUACGUUUGCUGUCGCCAUGUCAAUGUCAGGCACCCCACCCUGCAUAAAGUGGUUACUAAGGGUCGUAAGGUGAGGAGCCAGGACAUCUCUAAAUUGUUUGUAAUAGCUUAUGUUGUAUCCGUCUGGUCCUGGUGCCUUAUUACCUUUAAGGGACAUUAUAGCUGUUUCUACCUCAGUCUGGGUGAUUGGGUCUCGCAGAGAUUCUGCUUCAUCUCUGCUCACUUUGUGAUUGGUCAGUUCCAAUAGGAACUGUUGUAUGUCAUCCAUAUAGGUUGCGUUGCUGGCGAGGGGAGUGAUUGUAAAGGUCUGUGAAGUAUGUGGUGAAGACUUCGUUAAUAGUAUCAGGUGUCGUGGCAGUUGUGUUUGUUGCUGUGCGUAUUUUCGUUAUGGUUUUGCCUUGUGAUCUCGGUCGUAGCACUCUGGCCAAGAGUGUCUGUUUUAUUCGCUUUCUCAUAAAAUAGUCUUUUUGACCAGAGUAGGGAGCGUGACACUGCCUCCAGGGAUAUGUCCCUUAUGGAGUGUCUGAGGGUGUUAAGUUCCCUGAGUUUGGAGUCAGUCUGACUGGUUUUGUGUUGUUGCUCCGUCUUUCGUAGGGCUGACUGUAGUUCGAGUAGUAGUUUUGUUUUAGCUCGCUUUUUAUGCGUGGCUACUUUUAUAAAAUGUCUGCGCAGGACAGCUUUAUGUGCUGCCCAGACUGUGGUGGGGUUAGCUUCAGGAGUUGUGUUGAGCUCAAAGUAUUGUAAUAGCUCGUCGGGUUGUUUACUGUAUGAUGUUGUUGCUUAGGAGACUGGUGUUUAGUUUCCAUGUCCAGUUGGAUUGGUAGCGUAGUUUGCCUAGGGUGACCGUUAUGUCUGCGUGAUCCGACCAUGUGAUGCUGUUAAUGUCUGUGUGCAGGGCCUUGUCCAACCCCGUCCCAUUAAGGAAAAAUGUUAUCUAUUCUGGAGUAUGUGUUAUGUGAUGCUGAAUAGAAUGUGUAGUCCGGGUGCUGUAGCUGCCAUGCAUCUAAUAGGCCAGUGUGUGUCAGGAAUGUGUGUAAUAAUUUACCUUGUCCUCCCCUUCCCUGUGAUCUCACGGUGACUGGUUUGGAGCUCCUGUCGGAUGCCGGACAUGGUACUGCGUUGAAGUCGCCACCGACCUUAAGGACCCCGCCCCUAGCUCCGGCCACCAACACCUCCAAGCUAGUCCAGAACUGUGGGUUCGUUGGGAGCAUAGACAUUAAUGACAUGUAAUUUUGUGGUAUAUAGAGUGCCCCCUAUGUAUAUCAAUCUUCCCUCCGGGUCAGCCUGAAUGGCAGUUAUUUGUAGUGGGCAAUUUUUAUGUAUGAGGAUUGCCACCCUUGAUCGUUUGCAUAGUGUACGUGCCUCAUGUACUGUCGUGUAGGUUCUGUCAGUUAGUCUGGUGGGUGCCGACCCGGGGAGGUGCGUCUCCUGUAUCAGUGUAAUAUCUAUUUUUUUGGCCUUUAUUUCCCUCACUAGUAAUCUACAUUUGUUUGGGGAGUUUAGUCCCUUGACGUUAAGUGACAGUACCUUAAGAGCCAUGAGGAGGUGUAGGCAGUGUCGCUGCUGUGACAAGGUCUCCGGAUGCACGGACUACCUUAUUGAUACAGCGGUUCGCGCCGUGUGUGGGGUCCACCCCUGGCGACGCGUGUGGCAUCCAGGCAGAGAACUGGGAUUGGAGAUCAGUGCUUGUCGUAGUGGAGAGUAAGAAAAAGAAAAAAAAGUUGAGUAACAAGAUAUGUUAACCAUAAACAUAAAAAGUAAACAUAAAGUGACAAUCUGGUCUUAACCUGUGCCAGAUUAAAGUGGGGGUUGUUCACCCCUUCCGAGUGGCAGGAAAAUGUUCACCUCUCGGGGUUGGUGACUUCCCUGCGCAUUUCCACUAUGGUGUUAUAUGCAACCAGCGUCCAUAUAUAACAUUAAUUCUGGGCUUUCACAUUUGGGUAGUUCUGUCCCUGCAUCAAUCCCUUUCUGGUUCAUUCUACAUCUUUACCCUUUGUGUAUUCCCCUAUUGCCCUCACCAGGCUUUGCAGUGUUAUACUCCGUAUUUCGUUGUGUCCCUAUGUUCUGUACUAUUUAUUAUUCCCACAAGUGUGCUCUGCGUGAUGGGAGGGGUCGGCAGGCCACAGCUCCCCCUGGAUAAUCCCCCGCCCUCUCAAUGCCUCAGGUGCUUAGGUGGAGCUAAGGUGAGUUGUGGGCGGCCUCACCAGGGUCAUGUUCACCAGGGGGCUUUUGGCCGACCCGUUGGGUCAUAGCUGUGUGUUCUACAUUCUGCUGAAGUUUACUUUAUCUGUCCUGUCUUUGUAAUGUUAGAGAUUUAUUUUCAUUUCGUUAUUCAUUUAGUUAAUGGUUUUGUUGUGUGUUUUUUUUUGGGAGGUGUGUUUUGUGUCUCCUGAACCCGCUAGUUGCUAGCUGUAUGUGUGCCUUCUGGCCCUCUCGGGAGCAUUGUAAGGUUGGGACAUUCCUCUUGUCUUGUCUUUGUUAACCAGGUGCAGUUGGAGAGCUUGUCAACCCAGUUGGAGAGCUUGUCAACCUUUUUCAAAGCGUAGCUGCCCCCUUAAGCCUUGCAUUAUAUACUUGUACCUGCCCUCUCUGGAACAUUGCAAGUUAGCUGUAUGCUCACCAUUUUGUCUCAGGUAAUAUUGUAGCGUGAUGUGUCGCCAUGAUUGCUGAAGUAGGCCUCCAUGAUUGGUAUGAGGGGGCCUUCGUUUGGUGUUUCUGGUAAACCUCUAAUGCGUAGUUUGUUUCGUCUGGUGUGAUUGGAGAGGUCUUCCACCUGCAUUUCCAGAUUAAUAAGAUGUUCGUCUAAGGAGGUGGAGUGCUGCACGAGUGAGUUGUGGGCCUGUACCAUCACCUCUACCCGCUGUUCCAGGUCUGAAGUGCGUGCGCUGAGGGCCUGUAUUUCGGCCUUGAUGUCUUGUGAGCUGCGGGUAAUUUCGCCUGCUAGGUAUGACUGGACUUCAGCUAGCUUUUGCAGGAUCUGUGUGGUAUUGCCGCUGAGCAUGUCUCAAACAAGUCUCGUUCCCCCGUGUUUGAGGCUGGAGACUGUGAGCCUCGUGCGCCUGUCCGUCGGCCAUCUUGUGCGACUUCCGAGGAUCGUGAGGCCACACGUCGGCCACUGUGGGAGAUGAAUCCUGUGGCUCUCCUCUCUUUUUUCGGUGUGGGGUGGCUCCAGGUCCCUUGUUGGACAAUUUAGAGGUAAGCAGUGGUUGCGAUGCUGUUUACAGGUGCGGGAUAGUGAGUGGAUGAGCGGGAGCUCGCUCGUUAUUCCGCCAUCUUAGUCGGCUGCCAAGCCACCCUCCCUACAAGGAUGGUUUUAACAAGUAGGUUGGUGAUUUUGUUGAGUUUAAGAAAGUCUUUGGUGCUCCUAGGACAUUUUCAACCAGUCCUGAGAUCUGUUCUGUAAGUGUUCCCAUAAUUAAUGGUCUAUCAGGAUACACUAAUAUUUGUGUUCAGCAAAGUCUCCCGAGUAUAACCGUACCCCCCAUGUACAUGCUUUUUUUUUACAGUUACAUGGUCAAAUAUAAGGCUUGUGUUUUUUUUUUGUUUUUUUUUAAUCUGCCAGAUUGGUUAUGUUGCCUUUGAGAGCGUAUGGUAGCCCAGGAAUAAGAAUUACCUCAAUGAUGGCAUACCGUUUGAAAAGGUAUUCAAUAUGGGGUAUGUCCAGUCUUUUUUAGUAGCCACUUAGUCACAAACACUGGCCAAAGUUAGCGUUCAUAAUAGUUUUUUGCAUUUUUAACACACAAAUAUAAAUGCUAAUUUUAGCCAGUGUUUGUGACUAAGUGGCUACUAACAAAGACUGGACAUACCCCAUAUUAAAUACCCUGUGUUGUCUACUUAAAAAAAAAAAAAAAAUAUAUAUGGUUUGAUGGGGGUAAAUUACAUUGGCCGGCUUAAAAAGUUCCUUAAUAGGACAUGGGUGCAUGAUGGCCAGCUGUGAAAAUUCCAAGUUGGAAAACUGGAAUGCGCUCCUCCAAAUAAGCUCUUUUAGCCCCCAGAGAACCCGACACACACAAGAGUGGUAUCACUGUACUCAGGAGUUGUUGAUAAACACAUAUUGGGGUGUUCUUUGGCAUGAACCCUUAAAGUUCUCAGUACAUGUAUUCUUAAAUUGCUAUGUGUGUCAACAAAAAAAUCACUUUUUUUUUUAAAUUUGGCACCGGUUAGUGGUAAAAUGGUUGCAUGAAAAGAGUCAAAAUACCCCAAGUUUAAUACAUUAGGUUGUCCAUAUAAAAAAAGUGUGUAUAUGUAUGUGUAUGUGUGUGUGUGUAUAUAUAUGUAUGUAUAUAGGGUGUGUGUGUGUGUGAAGUGUUACUUGGGGAUUCCUGACAUAUAUCAGUGUUACAAUGUAAAGUUCGUUAAUUUUGGAAAACAGUGGUUUGGAAAUGGCAAAGUGCUACUUGUACUUAUAGCCCUAUAACUUUCCAAAAAAACUAAGAACAUGUUAACAUUGGAUAUUUCUAAACUCAGGACAAAAUUUACAAACUAUUUAGCACAGGUUUUUUUUUUGGUUUUUUUUUACGGUUGUAGAUGCGUAACAGAUUUUGGGGGUCAAAGUUAGAAAAAGUGUGGGUUUUGUUUUUUAAAAUCCUAUUUUAUAAUUGUUUUUAUUGUAAAUUAUAUAAUAUGAAAAUAAUGGUAUCUUUAUAAAGACCAUUUAAUGGCGAGAAAAACGGUGUAUAAUAUGUGCGGAUACAGUAAAUGAGUAAGAGGAAAAUUACAGCUAAACACAAACACCGCAGAAAUGUAAAAACAGCCCUGGUCCCAAACCGUAAGAAAAUUGAAAAACUGGUCCCUAAGGGGUUAAACAUAUAUACAAACUCCGAUAAAACCUCUUCUUCAGACAGAGAAUUCCACAUCCUUAUUGUUCUUACUGUAAAAAAGAAAAACCCAAACCUUUACUUUGCUUUAGACAAAAUCUCCUUUCUUAACCCCUUUGCGACCGGUGACUGUCCUGAACCGUCACAACGGAAAACGGAGAUCAGAGAUCGCUUCCGCUGAAAUCCCGUUGUUACUAUCUGUUACUACCUUCCCUGCCAAAUCUGUUACAGCAGUGCAUUUGUACUGUUACAGCAGUGCAUUUGUACUGUCUGUAUUUUAUUUUGUUUGCCCUUGAGGGUUAAAUUUGUGUUAAAAAUCUGUGUCUUAGGCUGUCUGUCUGUUUCCUCCCCCCCACCCCCUAAAUCUCCAUUAGAUUCUUUUAACAGGAGUUAGUUUAGGGAUUGCUUUAAGUCUGUUUUAGUCCCAAAAAAAUUGUUAGUAUUUUGUUCGUUUAGUCAGUUUGUGUGAAACAUGCAGCGCAUGUACAGCUUGGAGGAGGCAUAUUCAUUCUUGGCGUCAGACUCUGAUGCCACUGACACUUCGUUUGAUUUUUGACCCAGGUUAGUUUUCCGACACGUCUAGUGAACUGUCAUCUGUGUGUAAGCCGGAUGCAAAAAGAAGCUGUGCUUUCCCUGCUAUGCCGAAUGUGGAGGAGGACUGGGUACCUCCACAGUUAGCUGAGCCAAACAUCCCCAAUUUUUAGUGCCAACACAGGCAUUAAUGUCAAUCUGGAUAACUUCUCCCCAAUGCAAUACAUGGAGCUAUUUUUAGGGGAUACCAUCUGGGAGAAUAUUGCUUUCCAGACUAAUUUAUACGCUACCCAAUUUACUGAUACCAACCCAGGUAGCUAUGCAGUCAGGGAGCAUGCUUGGCAUCCCACAGAUGUCCCUGAACUUAAAAAAAAAUCCUGGGCUCUUACAAUGCUCAUGGGGAUUAUAAGAAAGCAAUCAAUUCGCUCUUACUGGACCACCAACCCAAUCUCUUCUAGUCCGGUGUACUCCCAAACCAUGUCUAGAGCAAGAUAUGAGCUGCUGCUGAGAUAUUUACAUUUUAAUGAUAAUACCCUCUGUUACCCUAGAGAUCACCCCCAAUAUGAUAGGCUUCAUAAAAUACGCCCACUGGUAGACCAUCUUCAGCACAAAUUUUCUGAAGUUUAUACUCUCCAACAAAAUUUAUAUUUCACCUUAAUGUUAGCAAUUUUUACAGCAGCGUCCACUUGUUUAAAAUUCUUUAUGGUUUGCAGACACUGGCCUAGGGCACUGUGAGAAGAAAUUCCAAGUAUUUCCCCAGAUCUCUCAUAGAGGCCAAAUUUAAAAAAGGUGAAUGCAAAGUUGAAGUGCUUGCAAUAAAAUUUAAGUACAGGAAGGAUGUUAAUAUACUAACCACCAUCCAUGACGAAAGCAUGGCAGAUGUCACUAUCCGAGGCACAGUACAGACCAAACCUGUUUGCAUCAGCACUUAUAACAGGCACAUGGGGGGUGUUGAUUUGGCUGAUCAGCUGAUGCAGCAAUAUCUUAUCUUAAAGGACCACUCUAGGCACCCAGACCACUUCAGCUUAAUGAAGUGGUCUGGGUGCCAGGUCCAGCUAGGGUUAACCCAUUUUUUAAUAAACAUAGCAGUUUCAGAGAAACUGCUAUGUUUAUGUAAUGGGUUAAGCCUUCCCCCUAUUCCCUCUAGUGGCUGUCUCAUUGACAGCCACUAGAGGCGCUUGCGUUUCUCACUGUGAUUUUCACAGUGAGAGCAUUAGUGUCCAUAGGAAAGCAUUGUAAAUGCUUAUGUGACUGGUUGAAUGCGCGCAGCCUUUGCCGCAGCCAGCCGACGGGCGGAACGGAGGAGAGCUCUCCGCCCAGCGCUGGAAAAAGGUAAGUUUUAACCCCUUUCCCCUUUCCAGAGCCGGGCGGGAGGGGGACCCUGAGGGUGGGGGCACCCUCAGGGCACUAUAGUGCCAGAAAAACGAGUAUGUUUUCCUGGCACUAUAGUGGUCCUUUAAGAAAGCUAAAAGCCUGGUAUAAAAAGGUGGCUAUCUCUCUGAUGCAAGUAGCAACACACAAUUUAUUUUUACUCUAAAAAAAAAAAUGAACCCAGGAAAAACCACCUUUCUCCAAUUUCCACAAUCAUUUAUGGAGAUGGUCAAGUUCCAACAACGGUGCCAGAGGAAUCCAGACAUUUUAUUUUUAAGAUACUGCCAACUGAAAAAAAAAAAAUCCCCAGAAACUUUGCCGGUGUUAAAAAAGGAAAAAGGACAGACACCCCUUUUUCACUGUUGCGAUUGCCCUACAAAAACUGGACUGUGUAUUGGAACAUGUUUUAAGCUAUACCACACAGAACAUACACUUUUGUAAUACUUGUUUCUGAAGUGUUUUUUUUUUUUUUUAUUUUUUUUUCUAUCUUUUGAAAGCGGCAAAAGUCAGUUUCCUUCCCCCAAAUCUCCAGUUAGAUUCUUUUUGCAGGAGUUCGUUUAGAGAUUGCUGCUAAAGGUGCAUUUGAUACCUGCACAUUUGCUUAAAAAAGUUUUCUGUCAGUAACAUAACUGGUUGGCCAAAACCAGAUGACGUGUGCAUAAAAAGCAGAAUUCAAAAAUUACCACCAUGCACGUUCUCUGAAAUUUGUUUAGCACAAUGGUUGGGGGAAGGAUGUGAAAACACCCCAUAUACAGGUGAUACUCGAAAAAUUAGAAUAUCAUGCAAAAGUUCAUUUAUUUCAGUAAUGCAACGUAAAAGGGGAAACUACUAUAUGAGAUAGACGCAUUACAUGCACAGCAAGAUAGUUCAAGCCGUGAUUUGUUAUAAGUGCGAUGAUUAUGGCUUACAGCUCAUGAAAACCCCAAAUGCACAAUCUCCGUAAAUUAGAAUAUUACAUGCAAUCAAUAAUACAAGUAGUGUACAUUAUCGGACCUCUGAAAAGUAUAAGCAUGCAUAUGGACUCAGUGCUUGGUUUGGGUCCCUUUUGCAGCAAUUACUGCCUCAAUGCGGCGUGGCAUGGACGUUAUCAGCCUGUGGCACUGCUGAGGUGUUAUGGAAGACAAGGAUGCUUCAAUAGCGGCCUUCAGCUCUUCUGCAUUGUUCGGUCUCAUGUCUCUCAUCUUUCUCUUGGCAAUGCCCUAUAGAUUCGCUAUGGGGUUCAGGUCAGGCAAGUUUGCUGGCCAAUCAAGCACAGUAAUCCCACGGUCAUUGAACCAGGCUUUGGUGCUUUUGGCAGUGUGGGCAGGUGCCAAGUCCUGCUGGAAAAUGAAGUCAGCAUCCCCAUAAAGCUCGUCUGCGGAAGGAAGCAUGAAGUGCUCCAAAAUCUGGUAGACGGCUGCGUUGACCCUGGACUUAAUGAAGCACAGUGGACUAACACCAGAAGAUGACAUGGCUCCCCAAAUCAACACAGACUGUGGAAACUUCACACUGGACUUCAAGCAUCUUGCAGUGUGUGCCUCUCGUGUGUUGCUCUCAUCAGAAAAGAGGACUUUGGACCACUGAGCAACAGACCAGGUCUGUUUUUCUUUAGCGGCUUGACAAGAGGAAUACGAUAUCUGAAACCCAUGUCCAGGGUCCGUCUGUGUGUGGUGGCUCUUGAUGCACUGACUCCAGCCUCAGUCCACUCCUUGUGAAAGUCCCCAACACUUUUGAAUGGCCUUUUCCUGACAAUCCUCUCCAGGCUGCGGUCAUCCCUGCUGCUUGUGCACUUUUUUCUUCCACACUUUUCCCUUCCACAUAACUUUCUAUUAAUGUGCUUUGAUACAGCACUUUGCGAAGGAAGUUGGAUGUUUCCAAUUACCUUUUGAGGCUUUCCCUCCUUAUGGAGGGUGUCAAUGAUUGUUUUCUGCACAACUGCCGGGUCAGCAGUCUUCCCCAUGAUUGUGAUUCCUACUGAACCAGACUGAGAGACCAUUUAAAGGCUCAGAAACCCUUUGCAGGUGUUAUGGCUUACUUAGCUGAUUCGAGUAAGACACUGUGAGUCUAGAAUAUUGCACCUUUUCAUAAUAUUCUAAUUUACUGAGAUUGUGGAUUUGGGGUUUUCAUGAGCUGCAAGCCAUAAUCAUCACACUUAUGACAAAUCACGGCUUGAACUAUCUUGCUUUGCAUGUAAUGCGUCUAUCUCCUAUAUUAGUUUCUCCUUUUACGUUGCAUUACUGAAAUAAAUGAACUUUUGCACGAUAUUCUAAUUUUUUGAGUAUCACCUGUACAAUACCCUGGAAUGUCUACUUUAUAAAAAUAAAUACUUUCACGAUGUUAACAUUUAACUGGGGGUUGUAAAAAUAUGCCAAACUGAAGAUAGGCCAAGCAUACCUAUAUAUCAAGUUGAAAAACUGACCUGUACAAGUCUCUAUCGUGUCCUUUUAGAUUUGACAGAUAAGUGUUACAAUGUCAGUAUUGAUACAUUUUAAAAAUGUAUGUUUUUAAACCGCAAUAUCCUACUUGUACUUAUAGCCCUAUAACGUGCAAAAAAGCAUGUAAACACUGGGUGUUUUUAAACUCAGGACAACAUUUUGAAUCUAUUUAGCAGUUUUUUUCAUUAGCUUUUUUAGAUGAGUAAAAGAUUUUUCAAGUAAAAGUAAAAAAAAAUGUAUUUUUUUUCAAUUUUUCAUCAUAUUUAAAAAAAAUAUAUAUUUUUUUAAUUAAAUUAUGAGAUUAUGCAAAUAAUGGUAUGUAAAGAAAGUCCUUUUUGUCCUGAAAAAAAACACCAAUAUAUAAUUUGUAUGGGAACAGUAAAUGAGAGCGCGGAAAAUUAGAGCUAAACACAAACACCACAAAAGUGUUAAAACCGCUCUGGUCCUUAACGUACAACAUGGCCAAAACUGUACGGUCCUGAAGGGUUUAAACACAUGACCUCGUGUCUUAUGUACAGUCCUGUUUGUGAAUAGAUUUUCAGACUAUGGUUAGGAACUAAAAAUUCCUUUUAUUAAUUUUGUAGCCUGCCUCUGCACCGUUUCUAAUGCCAUAAUAUCCUUCUUUAAAACAGGUGCCCAAAAUUGCACAGCAUAUUCAAGAUGUGUUUUUUUAUGUGAUUUAUAAAGAGGCAAAAAUUAUUACUGGCCUUAGCUCUGCUGAUUGACAUUGCACAUUGUUGUCUAGUUUGUCUGUAACAAUUUCUAAAUACCUUUGCAUUUUUCUACAUUUAAAUUUCAUCUGUCAUUUGAGUGCCCAGUCUAUCUAAAUCCCUCUGCAGCAAAGUAAUAUCUUGCUCACAUUGUAUUACUUUGAAACAUUGCUUUUAAUGCCUAUUUUUAAGAUCUUCUUUUAUAAAUAUGUUAAAUAGAAGCGGACCCAGACAAGAACCCUGGGGGACACCACUUACCACUUUUGUCCAGCUUAAAAAUGUGCCAUUAAUGACUGCUCUCUGUUACUCUAUUUUUAAAGUAACUGUAUAGUUAAAAAUAGGUAUCAACUGAUUAUUGGCAUAGCCGAUAAUGCAGACCAGGGCCGCACACUCUUGCUUACCUUCCCAGCAGCUCCCUUCAGCUCCCCUGUCUAACUCUCUCGAGUCCCGCGGCUGUCAGAGCGUUGCUCGCAGGCCACAAGAGUUAGACAGGGGAGCAGAAGGGAGCUGCUGGGAAGGUAAGUAAGCGUGUGGUGGGCCCCCUCUGCACAGUACAUGCCACUGGACCCCCACGGGAUGCCACAUCCCCCCCCCCCCCUGGCCAGGUAAGAAGCAGUGAGGGGGGACUAAAACAUAAAAAACAAACAAAAAAAAUUCAAUAUUUAAAAAAUAAAUAAAAAGUCAAAAAUUAAAUAGAAAUGCUCCCCUCCCCUGCACACUUAACAUACCUACACAAACACACACACACUCUGCAUUCAUUAUAUACACUCACGACACAAACACACACACUCUGAAUUUACUAUACACACUACACACACCCUGCAUUCACUAUACACACACUACACAAGCACACACACUCUGCAUUCAUUUUUACUCACGGCGCACACACACACUGCAUUCACUAUAUACACACUACACAAACACACACUCUGCAUCCACUACACACACACAUAUAUUCUUGAAAACAAAAAAUUCUGACUGGCAUGUAUAUUUUGUGCAUUUAUCUUAAAAAAAAAAAAAAAAAAUUUGCAAAAUAAAUAAAAUAAGCAUGUUCAGUUAACAGUAGAUUUGUGUAGAAAUCGUUUAUUUCGAUAACUUACUGAUUAUCAGUAUCUGCUCUAAAAAAUCAAUAUCGACCGAUCCCUACUCUUUACCUUGUUUUAGCUGCCUGGAGUGUCCCUUUAAGCCACUGUUCUGCAUGAACAAGCCAUUGUUCACAAGAACAAGAAUUUUCACCUAGACAGAGUUCAUUGAACACCAACCUAGUGUGUGGAACCGUAUCAAACGCCUUGGCAAAAUCCAAGUAGUGCACAUCCUGCAAUACCCUGAUCUAUGCUUCUACUGACUACAAUUAAGUCAGUUUGACAUGACAAAAAAAAAAAACAAUGCUGAUAUUUACUGAUAACAAUGUUAUUUUCAUAACUGUGUUCUUCACACUUAUGGUAGUAACAUCACUGCAAAUUUGCAAUUUCUCUGGGAAAAGCAAGUCUUUUGGCUUGACUGUUGUGUGCAGAUUUGUGUUUAACUGUUUAUUAUUAUUUUUUUUUAUUAACUUGGAUUAAUGGAAUUUAUUAUUUAACCAAAAUUAAAAUAGUGCAUGCAUAAAUAUACAGCCACAGUAGGCAUAUCUUGAGUAAAGGCUAUUUUUAGGUAGAUUUUAUUAAUCCAAAAGUGUGAUACUAAAAGAAAUAAGAUUAAAAUAUAAAGGGGAAUUUUAUUUAUUUUUGACUUGCAACUUGAUUUUUAUUGGUAGUCUAUCACUGGCUGGAUGUUGAGAGUAAUUGUACUUUAAUAGGCUUAGAACCUGACACGCAACUGACACUCUAUCUCCAGACACCAGGCAAAACUUUCGAGAGUCUGUGAUGGUUGAAUAAAUCGUUGUGUGGCCACGUUCAAGUAACUUGGGGGAUAAACAAUUCAAAAAUUAUUUAACUCCUGAAGGUGAGAUGGAUCCCCAAUAAUACUGCCCCAAUAACCUAAUUUACUACAACUCAGUUAUGUGACGUUGAAGCCACCUUAGGAAAACAUUGACUCAGUGUAUUUUAGAUGCUUUUGUGUUCCUUAAAUGUAAGAGUGGCCAGUUUUUCACAAUUUGAGGUUAUAAUGCUUUAUUCAGGUAGGUAUAGAUUUAAUCUACAAAUUUCGCUAGACUACCAAACCUUCAUCAAAUGGAUAUAUUGAAAUUAAGGUUUGUAGCUAUAGACAUGCGUGCGUACAUAUCUAUAGUGUGUGUGUGUAUUUACUGCAUGUAAUCCCAACUGCAAUUUAUCACUCAUUAAAGAGAUACUCUAAGCAUCUAAACAACGUUAGCUUAAUGAAGCAGUUUUAGUGUAUAGCUCAGGGACAGGCAACCUCCAGAUGUGGACUUCAUCUCCAUCUCCAAUAAUGAUCUUACAGCUAUAAUGUGGCAAAUCAACUGGAGUGACAAGGGUUGUCUACUACUGGUAUAAAUCAUACCUCUGCAGUCUCACUGGUAAAUUCUGAAAUUUUCGAGUUAAAUCACUUUUGUUUAUAACCUAUUUUUUUUGUAUAUAACCUAUAUAAUAAGCAUAUUCAUACACUUGAUAAGACUUUUUAAGUCUACUUAAAGUUGCUAAAACCCUUAAUGCUGUGUACACUCUAUGAAGUACAAUCUAGAAAUCAUUUUCUGCCAUAUUUGUUAUCCUGCUUUGUUAGUAACGGACAACAUGAGAAACUUACCAAAGCUUUAAAAUAAAUAAAUAACCUCUACUGCUCAUAAAACAGAUUGCAUAAUAUUUUAAGUGGAAAUUCAAGCAAAAGCGACCUGUAAGACAGAGUAGACAUAACAAUCCAAAAGUAUGAUUUCUGUACAGUUGUGCUUCUGUAAACAUUUUUUGUACAGAGCCCAUGGUAUGCCAAUUAACUAUAAUUUAUUGGCACUAGACCUUUUUCAUUACAUUACUGAUAUUGUGUUCUGCACUUUUAAAGGGAGCUUUAGUGGGCCAAUUAGUCCAUUUACAUAAUGCAGUAUUUAGAUAUCCUAUGUAUAGGGUUACCAGAUCAUCACGUUUUUAGGGGGACACAUAACUUAUACACAUGGGUGGGAAAUGCAUGAAGCUUGCCCUGUGGUAUGUUGAAUUCAGAAGGUGUAAGUAAUUAGGCUAUGAAGAAUCCUGCAGAAUAUUCAUUAUACAUACUACAGGGAAAUACUUUUCAUGCAUUUUCAGCAGGGUAUAAUGGGAUAGGUAUUUUAACCCUAGGAGCAGAUUCGCCCAUCACAUAACAUACCUCCAAAGUGUCCCUAUUUAGGUGGGAAAGACUCUGUGUUAGGCCCAAAUCACUUUGUCCCUCUUUUCUAGGAUCUCCAUAUUGUUGGAGUGACUUGAAUAUGUAACACAGCUCUACAUCAAUAAUAUUCAAAGUAAUGUGUCUUCAAACUACAAUAAAUGUGUUCAGAGAUCAGUCUGUGCAAAUAAGAUACAUUGUUCUUGUUCUAAAUUACAUUUUAAUUGUAGAAGUUAUUAGUCACCUAAAACUUCUCAUAACAGGCCCUCUGCUGGACAUACCCACACUCACACUCCUAAAUUUUUUAAUUGCAAUAAUCUUUAUUGCUAUAUUUUUUCAAUUUAACAGAUAACAUAAAUUUACAUAUUGCUCACAUCUGAUACUUUUUAAUAAGUUUUAAUACUAUUAUACAUCUUUACAUAUAGAUAGCCUUGAAGGAAAAAAAGUGCAUAGUUUUAUUUUCAAAAAUGUCUUACAUACAGGGUUACUCUUCUAUUACGGUAACGUUUUUUUGUAAGCAUAUUUCCCUAAAUAACCUAUUCUUAGGUGAGGAAUUGUCUAUCCAUCUGAUACCAUUCUUCAUUUUUAAUUGAAGGGUUAGUUGAGCUAUCCAUUGCGAAUGUGUUAUAUUAAAUAGUUGUUUCUAGCCAAUGAAUUUUGCUGCCAUAAAACCGUGCAUUGCAAUAUAUAGUUGUUUUGUUGUCAUAACUGGCCAAAACCGGUGUAAGAGUACGGUUUGGGGAGAUCUUUGUGUCUUAAUCUCAUCAAACCUUAUUAAAAACAUGAAAACCGAAUCCCAGAGUAUUUUAAUGCUUGGACAACUCCACCACACAUGAAUAUAAUUACAGAUCGAUUCCAUGCAUCUCCAAUAUAUGUUUAAGGCACUAGGAUCUAUUUUAAGGAUUCUUGUGGGGACCAAAUACCAUCUAUUUGCUACUUUAAAAACUUUUUCAUAUAGUGCAAGGUUAUGUAUAUAUUUAUUAACUUUAGUUAGCUCCCCAUACCACUCUUUUGUGAGGAUAUUUAUGGGGUGAUAAAUAUUAAAAAUAUUUUCAUAAAAAUGAACAAGUUUAAUUUUUAUUAUAUCAAAAUGUAUAUCUUGGCACUGUUUCACCAAUUAUAUUAAUUUAAAGCUGAGAAUUACCCACUACACAUUAAUCACAAAUUAAUUAUAAAAAUAUAAUUUAUUGUGACAAUAUAUGUAACAUGCGUGAUAAUAAUCGGUGAAUAUUUAGGUAUAACAUAAGUAUACAAUAUGGCAGUGAGUUAACACAAUUUAUAGAUGGUUCAGUCCAGCAGCAUUAUAGAGACAUGUAUGCGGUCUUCAACAAGAUUUACGAGACACUUCACUUUGAAAUCAACUUAACAAAGAACACAGCAGCACAGCUAAGGCAAUAAAAACUUUGUCUGACUGUCAAAUCACACUGAAUUAACUCAUUCACUGCUGGCUACAAUUCUCAUAGGCAAGAUAUCCUUUUAUAUUGCAAUUUUACAAAUACAAUAUUUCUCAUACUAGAUCAUUUGACCAUUCCUAUGUCCAUUCAAUAAGAAUAAUUCUAACCAGAUUUUAUGUUUGCAGAAUUUUAACUUUCCUACGUAAGAUUUACUAUUUCUAAAUUACAUAAGCUAAUAUAUCUGGAUAAUUGCCUGGUAUUUAAUUUUUAAAGUUAAAAGUAAUAUAGAGUUCAUUGGCCCACCUGCAGGAAUGGAAUUACGAAUUCUAUAUAUUCUUAACGAAUCAUGACUCCUUGGAAUCACCAGCUUUUAUCCAAGUAUAUUCUGCCUUUUAGUAAAAUCAUUUAAUUUUAUUAAAUAAAACCAGCAUAAUUACCAGUUAUGUUGUAGAGUUUUGUUGAUAUGUCCCAGGAAUUUUGAAUGCAAGUAUGAAUAUCGAGAAUUGUGUGAAUUCAGGAGCGUUUUCAGAGUUAUGAAUUUUAAAGAAUUUCAAAGUUAAGUGUUCGUUGGAAAAGCUACAAAGAAUUAGGUGUGUCCAGCUUUGGCUCCAGAUGUCAGAUCUUAGAUGUUUGGCGUGAGUCCAUCCUCAGUGUUAGUGUGUGAGUGGCUGUCUCUCCUUUGUUCUUAAUUUUUUAAAACAUUUUUAAAUUCUUUAUUUUUGCUGUGCGGGUGGGUACAAGAAAUCAACAGGUGCCACAACAGCGUAUUGCAAGAUAUACAAUGGUUAAAGGGACACUGUAGUCACUAUAAGCAUUUCAUCUCUUUGAAUUGGUUAUAGUGCCUGGAGUACCCUGGCACUGUCCCUCCAUUCAGUGUUGCACCAUGUUCGUGCAGUAUGCCACAAAAUAAGAGUCCCUGGCCACCCACAGUCCGGCCCCUUCAGUAUGUGUAGCUAAGGCAGAGAUUACACACUUCCUUGUUGUCAUACCCACUCAUACCGUCAGUUGGAACUCUGACAGGCUAAAAGCAGUCAGCUGACACUCUCAGCCAAUCACAGCUGCCCAUUUCUGCUCAGGCUAAUACUUCCUUAUUAGCCAGAGCAGCACAGAGGGGAUGGAUUGCCAGGGACUCUUGUUUAGCAUUAAAACAUUAAAACUUUAAAAACUGUUUAAUGCUGAUAGAAAUGAUGGGACCAGAAGACUCCAGACAUUAUAAACAGUUUAAUGAGAUGAAGCAGAUACAGUGCCUACGGUGUCCCUUUAAACAAUGGCAUGAGAGUCUGCACAAUUUUAUAUUUUUAGCAAGCUUGGCCAAACAUUUGUAUCGUUAGCGUGAAGUUAAACGAAAUACAGCAAGAUAAUUGAUGCUUAACUUGUCUAAUUAGGCAUAUGUGUGAGAACCAAAACAGUGAGCUUAUUUUUGCCGUUGAAACAGGAGCAAUGGUCAGCAUCAAGAACUGAUGUCUAUAGGCUUAAUUAAGUUUAACCACCAGGGUGCAGCAGAGCGUCGGCCAUACAUGCAAGCUCAGACAUUUUAAUUGCUUUCUAACUGCAGGAAGAAUCUGCUAUAAAAGACACACAUUAAUAUUGUAGAUGAGAUACUAGAUUAAGAGGUACACCAUAGUCUGUUAUAACUUUAGGCAUAUAUGGUUAGAAGCCACUUGAUCCCUCCUGCAGCUGUGCUAAAUCUCUGACUGUAGCUGGUUAUUUCAGUGUGUGGGGGCUUGACAGUCAGGAGUGGAGUGGAGCUUAUUCCCCAUUUUCGUUGUUCCCUUAUACUCAGGCAGGGUCAAAGUCCAGAUAGAGUCCCCUUAUAUCCACUGUUGUUAAUGAGAGGUGAUGCCUCUGUUGGUGUGAGUGUUAUAGAGCUGAGCUGUGCUUGGCUUGCUUGUGGAGUAUAUCCCUUAUACAGUUAUCCUGUGGGUGGAAGGAGCACUUUGCUGUCUGCCGUUGCUUUGGUACUUCCCCCUCACUUCGUCUCACAAUGAGCGCGGCGGCCAUCUUAGUUUUUCCCAUGCGGUCCCCGGUCAGUCUUCCUUCUGCCUAGAUGCCCUGAACGAGCGCUGCUUCCCCGGUGGGGUCCGGGAUAACCCCCCGGCCCACAGGGGGGGGGGUAACGGGGCCCUUAGCAGUCGGCAGGAGGUCCUGCCGGACCAAGCACGGGAGAUCGUCCGCUUCUCCCGCCAGGGCCUCACAGCAGGCCACUCGCCCACCAGACCGCAUCGCCAGCAGAGUGGGGGCUGAUACUUGCCCCGAAGGUUGUUGGUCGGGUCCUCUUUGCCCUCUCAUGGCAGCUGAGGAGUUUCCAGGCAAGAGAGGGCAUUUUUAAGCUGGUCCCUGCGAUUUUAGCAGAGAGCCGAGGUGCCCCACGUCUACCCAGCUCGGCGGCCAGGCCCCGUCCCCUUUGUUCUUAAUUUUUAAAGGAGAAGUUUUCUACACGUCACUAGUUGAUAGUGACCAAUAGUGAGGUGGGCGUGUCUUCCCUACAGACUAUCAUCUAGAUUUUGGUCAGUAGACGGUGCAAUUACAUCACAGAAAAUUCUUGUCAGGGGGUCCAUUUACCUUUUUGUAUAAUGGGUUAACUGAUUUUCGUGAUGCGUUUGAUGUUAUCUUUUAUGAUACCUAUUCAUCAAAGACCUGACAAUCUUCAAAGCGUUUUGGUUGGAUUCAACCAGACUUGUCUGCAUUUUCGACAUUAAAUUAUUUUGACACGUCUUUUUAUACAAUGGAACUUUGUAAGAUUUUUAAAAAAAGUUAAAUUAAUUACUUAAUGUUAUCUGUCAUUGGUAAUGUGAUUUGGUAACGUUGGUAAAUAAUGACAUUUCUUCAUUGAUAUUAUAUCCAUGAAUAUUCUUUAUCAUUAACGUAGUACUAUUUAUAUAUUAUUAAUAUAAUAAUAGUAAGCUAUAUGUGGAUAGUGUGUAUGUGUAUAUAUAUUUGUUUACAUUAGUUGCAAGCUCAGGCUUGAAUGAAGUUACAGAGAAGUAAAAAUGUGUCUGUCUUUGCAUUGUGAUACAAAAUGUAGUCACUUCUAUUCUGAUGGUGACUUACAUUAUACACUUUUAAUUUCUUUCUUAACACAAAAUGUCUGCCAAUAUAAAUAUACUGACCCUAUUAACAGAUUUAUAUCUGCUUCCUAUUUUUUCAUUUUUUUAAAUUUAUUUUUUAUUGCAACUGGCUCUUCUGUUUUUGUAAUUUGUACUAACAGCAAUUAGAUAUUUUAUCUCUUUCUAUCUGGCCAAAGAUUUUGUGCAUAUGGUCUCUCGGUUCUACAGUUCCAUAUAUACAUGUGACCCAUAAUAUAUGAUUAAACUCUCAAAUAGCUAAAUACAUCUGAAUUUGUCAAAGCAAAUUCCUUUAUCAAGGAUGGGAAGGGUUUGAUUGUAUCCUCAUUCGUAAUAUCUGAUAUCCUAUUAAUAUUUUUGCUUUUCCAGCUGAGAACUGAUAAAUCUUCUAUUAUAUAAUUAAAGGAGCACUAUAGUGAACAUAUAUAAAAGCAAGAAAGACUUAGCCUUCUUUCUUGCUUUUAUGUUCGUCCCCCUAAUAAAAAAAUGAAUUCCGAGGUAAUCUGAGGUAAGUUUACAUUUAAUUAUGUAAACUUACCUCCGUUCCAGCGCCGAGAUCUUUGGCAGGCCGCGCCCUCUUUUUUUUUUGUCAAAAUGACGAAACAGGCUUAAUCAGAUGCUUCUCUUAGAGAAGCGUCAUCGGUAUGUAAACAUAUACACACUCUAUCCAUCCUUCUCUAUCCAUUCAAUACACACUCUAUCCAUCCCUCUCUAUCCAUCCAAUACACACUCUAUCCAUCCCUCUCUAUCCAUCCAUCCAUCCCUUUAUCAAGGACGGGAAGGGUUUGAUUGUAUCCUCAUUCGUAAUAUCUGAUAUCUUAUUAAUAUUAAAAGAUGUAUAGAAUUUCUCACACACUCAUGAAUAGUGUCCACAUACAGUGCUGUAUAAAUUUCAAUUCAAAAAGUGAUUGUGAUAGAAAAUAGAAUAACUUCCCUUAGCAAUAUAGGAUAUGCCCGAAGAUUUGCUCCUAUCUUCAAUUCAACAUGUAUAUGGUAUAGGGCUAGGGUUUGAUUGUAUCCUCAUUCGUAAUAUCUGAUAUCCUAUUAAUAUUUCUGCUUUUUCCAGCUGAGAACUGAUAAAUCUUCUAUUAUAUAAUUAAAGGAGCACUAUAGUCAACAUAUAAAAGCAAGAAUGACAGCUCGCCUAGCUUGCUUUCUUGCAUUUAUAUUAGUUUCCUCCUAAUAGAAAACGAAUCAGAGUGCUUUUAAUCGUGUAAACUUACCUCCGUUCCAGCGCCGAGAUCCUCUGAGCGGUAUUGGCGAGCUGAUCUGACUGACAGCUUAGAUCGCUGCCUAAGCCCGCCCCUUCCUACCGCAACCCUCCUAAGCCAAAAGUAUGUGUUUACAUAGAAACUCUAUAUAGAGAGAGAUCUGUGUGUUCUCUAUCAUCCAUCCAUCUCUCUAUCCAUCCAUCCAUCUCUAUCCAUCCAUCCAUCUAUCCAUCCAUCCCUCUCUAUUCCUCUAUCCAUCCCUCUAUCCAUCCCUCUCUAUCCAUCUAUCCAUCCAUCCUUCUAUCCGUCCAUCCAUCCCUUUAUCAAGGACGGGAAGGAUUUGAUUGUAUCCUCAUUUGUAAUAUCUAAUAUCCUAUUAAUAUUUCUGCUUUUCCAGCUGAGAACAUUUUGCCGUCCAUGCUCAAUAGCUUCCCAAUGCUUUUCCAUGGGAAAACAUUGGUAAGCUAUUGAGCAUGCAUGGCAAAAUACUGCACCAAUCAGCAUCUCCUCAUAGAGAUGCUUUAAAUCAAUGCAUCUCUAUGGGGAACGUUCAGCACCUCAGCGUGGAGAUGCGGAAUGAAGAUAGGAGACACUAUACUGUCUAGAUAGGGGAAACUUUAGUUGGGAUGCAGUGUUUUUUGACAAAAACACAAUUCUUAAAGGAACAGGCAAUAGACACCAGAGCCACUACAUUAAGCUACAGUGGUCCUGGCGACUAUAAUGUCCCUUUUAAGAAUUCUGUUUUAGUUGUUGAAAAAAUACUUGCUCCUAACUUUUUUUAGCUGGCUCUUUGAUUCAGUGCCAAUUUGUCAAGCCCUGGUAUAAACACGGUUUUAGUUCUCAUGUUUCUGUUGGAAAACCUUUUUUUUAAUAUUUGGAUUAGUUCUUUUUGCCAUCUAAUUGCCAUCAUUUCCACAACUCUGGCAGAUGGAUUAUAAUAUUUUGAUUUAAUUGCCUUUAGGAUCCAACCUCCCAUUCCAUAUGCUAUCCCCAUCCAACCCUAUUGAAUGCCUUUUCUGCAUCUGUCAGAAGGACCACACCUUAAAUUUAAACUGACACUAUAGUGACCAGAACUACAGCUUAAUUUAGUUGUUCUGGUGAGUAUAAUACCUUCAGGCCUUUUCAGAUGGCCACUGGAGUUGCUUCCUGGUUCAGUGCUGCACAGUAGCAUGGGGGGCGCAGAAUUUUCCCUCUUUGUGUCCCUCUUUGAAUAUUUGGAAUGUUGAGAGGAUGUGUGCAACUGUUGUAUAAACUGAUAACAGUGAUAUGGCUACUGUUCUCAACAGUGGGCGUUAUUUUAUCCAAGUAUCACAAAAGUGUCACAGUUCUCCUCAUGCCAUCGAGACGACUAGGCAUGGCCACCCCAUAAGUGUCCAACAGGGGAUUUGAACCCGGGGCCUUCUGCAUCCUAAGCCUGCGUUCCUGCUUCUGAGCCACUUCUGAACUUUGGAUCUAGACUUGUUUAUACGGCAAUGCCUGCAGCACUAGAGGGCUGGACUUCACCAGUGGCUCCCACCUGUCUGUCAAUCUAAGUCCACCUGAGGCAGAUGGAUCAUUAUACACCUAUAUAACACUGCCUCUAUCUGAGGGCAGGGUCAGUUCGUUGUUUCUUGUUUCAUGAUCCUGUUGUUUAAGACUGACUUGGCUUGUGACCCCUGCUUUUGGAUCUUUGUUAUUGACUGUUCGCUGCCUGCCUUGACCUUUGGAACUGUGUCUGAAUAGUCUUCUGGAUUUGCCCUUGUCUGUUUCCUUGUACCCAGUUACUGUUCCUGCCUAAGCCCCCAUGCACAGAUUCACAGCCCAGGUAGCUUAUAUCUGGUUACCAUGGGCUGUGUUUAUUUGCAAGGGUGAGCGAACAUAUCUGCACUAAAGACUCCCAUCUCAGGUAAAACCCUGACAAAAAGUUUAAAAAGGGAAACUGUAGGCACCCAGACCACUUCAGCUAAUUGAAGUAGUCUGGGUGCUGUGACCCUUUCGCACUUAGUGCUGCAAUGUAAAACAUUGCAGUUCCAGAGAAUGGCAAUGUUUACAUUGUAGCUCUAAGUCUGCCCUCUGUGACUGUCUACGAGACAGCCACUAGAGGGCUUCCUGAAUCCAAACAGACUUUUGAUCUCUUAUCUGACACUGGACGUCCUCACGGAGUAUGGGGGCAAACACGGGGUAUGGGGAUCCCCUAUGACAUAAUUGAUUAUAGACAAAUACUGUAGUACAGAAACAGGUUGUGUCCAUUAUAAACAAGCUAAUGAAACAAAAUAUUGGAUUAGAAGAGAAUAAUAGCAAAUAAAUAGUUUACAAAGUCUAGUCCAAAUUAUCUUCUAGUGAUCUGGGUUCUUAUGUAGUGUAUUUUGUUCUCAUUUUGUGCUUAUGUGGAUAAAAAAGAGGGAGGAAAAAAAGCUGAUGGUGUAUUAUUUGCAGGGCCGGACUGGGGAUACGAAAUAGCCCUGGAAAAAAAUCUAUGCCAGCCCCAUAAGUCAUUGUGCUAUGUAGGGUGUUAUUUAAUUACCCUGAAAGGACUAAUAUUUUGCAUUAGAAGAAGAAAUGUAUCAAUAAUAUAUAUAUUAUUAUUAUUGAUACAUUUCUUCUUCUAAUGCAAAAUAUUAGUCCUUUCAGGGUAAUUAAAUUAUACAUUAAAGCAUACUCAGACACAGACAAUCUCAAUGACACACACAGACAAGGUUACUGGCACACACACAAAUUUUAGUACAGACAAACUGAUACACACACAAGCUUACUACAGACAAGCUCACUGUCACACACACACACACGCUCACUACAGACAAGCUCACUGAUGAGCACACUCUUUCCCUACCGACAAGCCUAUUGACUCACACAUGCUCCCUACAGAAGAGCUCACUAACACGCAGAUUCACUACAGACAGGCUCACUGACACACACAUGCUCACUACAGACAAGCUCACUGACACACAUAUGGUCACUACAGACAAGCUCACUAUCACACACAUGCUUACUACAGACAAGCUCACUGUACACACAUUCUCACCACAGACAGGUUCCGACACCCCCAUGCUCCUUACAGACAAGCUCACUAACACGCACACACAUAUGAUCCCUACAGACAAGCUUACUGACCAUCAGACGCGCGCACACACGCUAGGCUCCGCCCCGCCGCAAAUUAUUAUUUUUUUAAUGAUCCCGGCUGGCCAUGUGUGAGCUGUGCCGGCUGCCUGGCUCCCCCUGCUCCCAUGGGGCCCUGUGCAGCCGCACAGCCCACAUAUGGCCGGCCGCGAUUACAGGAGCCUGAUCACUGAUUAGGGCUGUCAGCCCAGCCCCAGGUGCCGCGGCCCACUGGGAAACAUCCGGGUGGGCCAGUCCGGCCCUGACUAUUUGUUGCACUGGGUGUACCUACAACAAGAUACGCAAGUACCCACUUACAUGUUAUAGAGUUUCAUACCAGCUCUAGUACUAUCAGCGUGUUGUGGUAUUCUCACCGCUAGUGGAUAUAGCUGGGGUCACUCUUCUAAAUCACAGUGGAACAUGUAAUGACACAAUAUUGCACUCCUUGGAUUUUAUUCUAAGUACAGUGUACAUAAAGUGGAAAAAAAAAAUAUAAUAUUCAAAAAAUACCCGGUGAUUUAUUCUGCUUCUUUAAAAGGAAAAAAGAAAUGUGGUGUAUCUAUAAUUUUUUCUAGAGAAGUUAUCUUUGAUUGCUGUUACAACUACUUAGAUCCGGAAGGGAGAUUUAUUAUUUUAGUGGGUCAAAUGAAUGGGUUGGAUUAUACUUUGGUCAAUGUUUAACAAUAUGAAAACAAAGAAGUACACAGUGUUAGAAAGUGUGAUAGCUCUUAAAACACCUAUAAAGUGGUACCCCUUACACCACUAUAAAAGCAAUACAAUACAUACAAAGUAAUAGGUGGAGCUGAGUAAUGUCCUGUAUCUGUAAAACAGAAUAAAUACAAAUAGCGUAGAGAGUUUGCACAGAUAAUUACUGUAAAAGUAGAAAUAAAAUCGUUGAACUCACAAGAUUGGAGUCAUACCAUCAUAUGACUCUAGAGGUAUGUUCCUUUGGACCAUUAGGGGGUUGUCCAGACCCUUCUGUCGUUGGUUACUGGAUACUCCUCUUUAGUGGUCCUUUUCGUGUCCCCCAAGGAAUUCUCAGUAUAUUACUUGUUCUUAAAAAUAAUAUUUCUUUAUUUCCAAUAUAAAAUGUUUACAAAAAUUAACAAUAAACAAAAACACUAUACCAAUAAAUAUUGGAUAUAGGUAGAGUAAGUUAGUGUCCAAAACGCGUUUCGCCUGAUAUACAGGCUUCCUCAGUUCUAUAGAAAGGCAAGAACGGAACAUCAUAGAGCCAACUGAGGAAGCCUGUAUAUCAGGCGAAACGCGUUUUGGACACUAACUUACUCUACCUAUAUCCAAUAUUUAUUGGUAUAGUGUUUUUGUUUAUUGUUAAUUUUUGUAAACAUUUUAUAUUGGAAAUAAAGAAAUAUUAUUUUUAAGAACAAGUAAUAUACUGAGAAUUCCUUGGGGGACACGAAAAGGACCACUAAAGAGGAGUAUCCAGUAACCAACGACAGAAGGGUCUGGACAACCCCCUAAUGGUCCAAAGGAACAUACCUCUAGAGUCAUAUGAUGGUAUGACUCCAAUCUUGUGAGUUCAACGAUUUUAUUUCUACUUUUACAGUAAUUAUCUGUGCAGACUCUCUACGCUAUUUGUAUUUAUUCUGUUUUACAGAUACAGGACAUUACUCAGCUCCACCUAUUACUUUGUAUGUAUUGUUUUGGUCAAUGUUUAUUUACCUAAUAAAGACCCAAUUAAAACUUUGAUGAAAAUUUUAGGUUUGGUUGAACAGGUUAAAAAAGGUAGUCAUUCUUGCUGGAGAUUUUAAUUGCAUCUUUGACACCUCUUGGGACAUACAAUUGGCUAAAAAUCAGAGGAUAGAUAAAUCUCUUAAAAGGCAGGCGGCAUCGUUAAGUAGAGUGAUCAAGAAAGCGGAUAUGUUUGACACAGAUCUAUCCCUCACAACUCAUCUGCUCGGAUAGAUAUGAUUCUGGGUAAUUUAAAAUUAGUUCAGGCAAUCUCUUUAAUUUCUAUCGUUGAAAAUACUUGGUCAGACCAUGACAUGGUAAUCGCAGAUCUGGUGGAAAUUAAUAAGUGAUCUCCGCAGAUCUGGAAAUUGGCAGACUAUUUGCUAAAAAAUAAAGCAAAUGUAGAACAUAUAGAGAAGUUAAUUGAUUUCUUUAUUAAGGAGAAUUCAUCUGAGGAGGUAUCUAAAGAAUGCUUAUGGUCCUCGUGUAAAGUAGUCAUCAGGGGACACUGGUUAAAACUCUCAAGUUUUCAAAAAAGGAAUGUAGAUAAUAUUUUGUCGGAUCUUUACAUUCAAUUUUAUAAUCUUUCUAAAGCUAACAAACAAGUUUACUCUGAAGAUAGAGCUCUAGCUAUUAAAGCCUACCAAGAAAAGAUAAAUGAACAGAUUAAGAAUAGAGUGGAACGUAAUCUAAACAAGUUAAAUAUUAAAUAUUAUUAUAAGAAUAACCGGGUAGACUCAGUCUUAACAAAUAAAUUAAAGAAAAAGAUGACUGACCAUAAGAUAUCUAAAUUAAGAGAUGGAAUUAAUUACAUCUAUAAGCCUGAAGAAAUUGCCAGUAAAUUUUGAGUGUUCUAUCAAAAACUUUAUAACCUGAAUAAAUCUCCUGACCAAGGUUAAAUUAUCUAACGAUCAGAUGGUGAAACUUAAUAGAAAUAUAUCUUUUCAUGAAGUGGAAUUGGCAAUUGAUAAGCUUGUUAAUAGUAAAGCUCCUGGACCGGAUGGGUAUACGAAUUUGUUUAAGGUUUUUAAGAGACAAUUAAUUCCGUUGUUAACUGACACCUUUAAUGAAUUGGCAAUCAAAGGGAAUGCAUCUCAAGAUUUAUUAAGGGCUCAUAUUACUCCAAUUUUGAAACUGGGCAAAAGGUCAGAUGAUGUGAGUAAUUAUCGCCCUAUAUCUCUGGUUAAUGUGGAUAUGAAACUUUAUGCCGCAAUUUUAGCGGAACGUUUGAAAAUAAUCUUGCCAUCACUUAUACAUAGGGACCAGAUAGGUUUUAUGCAGGGAAGACACUCCUCAAAUAACACUCGUAGGGCUCUGGACAUUAUAGAAUGGGCUCAAGCUGAGGGAACCCCCCUUCUGACCCUGUCGGUGGAUGCAGAAAAAGCCUUCGACAGGGUCGGAUGGGGAUAUCUGAAGAGAACUUUGUUACAGUUCGGUUUUGAUGGAUGGUUCUUGAGUGCGGUGGGAGCUAUAUAUUCGAAUCCCUCUGCCCGUAUAGUAGCCCGUGAUUUAUGCUCAGAUUGGCUUUAUAUUAAAAAUGGGACGAGACAGGGGUGUCCUCUUUCACCUUUAUUAUACGUCUUAUCAAUUGAACCACUAGCAAAUAAUAUUAGACAAAAUGUAGGGAUUAAAGGAUUAGGAACCCAACAUGAUGAAUGGAAGAUAUGUCUAUAUGCUGACAAUAUCUUAAUUUCUAUUACGGAUCCCCUGGUUUCUCUUCCUCAUUUAAUGCAAGAAUUUAACAACUAUAGUAGUGUUUCAAAUUAUAAAUUGAACACGAAUAAAACAAUAGCUAUGCCGAUUAAUAUCCAUAAAGAUAAUUUACUUUCCCUAAAGAAAGAUUUCGAUUUUAAAUGGACAAAAUUUUUUUAUAUAUUUGGGGGUAAUCAUAACUGCAGAUAUAAGACGGACUAUGGAAAUCAAUUUUUUGAAGCUGUUAAAAGAGACUAACAUGUUAUUAAAAGAAUGGAGAGUGCAUGAAAUUUCCUGGUGGGGAAGGAUAAAUACUAUUAAAGCCUAUAUAAUUCCUAAAUGGGCUUACUUAUUUAGUAUGCUCCCUCUCUCGAUCCCGAGCUAUUGGCUGAAUAUGCUGCAAAAUAGCAUUACAGCGUAUGUCUGGAGACGGAAGAGACCAAGAAUUAGUACAUACACUCUAUCAAGGAAGGCCCAUCGGGGGGGUUGGGUUACCCCCUAGUGAAUCAAAUCUACCAGGCUAAUAUACUUGUUCAUGCCAGUAAAUUACAAUUAAGCGACUCUAUAGACCAAGCUUGGUAUAAAAUUGAAGCAGCCAGACUUGGUUUAGAUAAUCUCGAAUUCCUCUUAUGGAGAGAGGCAAGCCAGAAUAAGCAUCUGUGCGAGAUUGGUUCGCAUUUUCCUUUGUCUUUAUUACAGACAUUAAGAGAAUGGACUAAUAUAAAGAAGAAGUUGAAUAUUAAUAGAAAACUAUAUGAGAACCUGAGUCUAAGGUCGUUAGAAUGUUUUAUGCUAGAGAUAAACCUGACGAAUUGGUAUAAAGACUCUAAUCAUAAGAUAAAAGAUCUCUAUAAUGACCAACAAUUGAAAAGCUUUGAAGUUUUGAAAAAUUGGUUAGAUUUACCCUCCAGAGAAUUAUUUAACUUUCUUCGUAUUAAGAGCUAUUUGAAAGAUAACAUAUUGGUUUAAGAAGGCCGUUUAGGAAUACUGUUUAGAAAUAUCUUUUCAGGGUGUAACGUUAAAAGGAUCUUCUCUAGUGCAGUUGAACUAAUAAAAAUGAAAGGGACCCCACUUAUUCCCAAAGCCUUAACUAAAUGGGAAACUGAUUUCUAUUCCAUUUAAUAGUUGGUGUAAAUCUUUUGUAAGGACUAAAAAAAUUAUUUACUGCCUGAAUAUUCUAGAGACUUUUACUAAAAUAUUAUAUAGAUGGUACCUGGUACCUACCAGACUUGCCAAAAUUUCUAUUACUAAUCCAUCUAAUUGUUGGGGUUGUCUACAUUCAGAUGGUUCUAUGGUUCAUAUAUGGUGGUCCUGCUAUCGAAUUAAAUCUCUUUGGACGAUUACAUAUGAAUUUAUAAAUAGAAUUGGAGGUAUUUAUUUGGAAUUCAAACCGGAAGUCGCCCUACUCCAACUUUUGGGUUUAGAAAUGAAGGAUAAUCUUGAUAUUGUGAUUAUACACUGUUUAAUGGCUACUAAAAUAUUAAUUGCUAGAUUUUGGAAAAGCACUGAUAUUCCUACGAGAGAUCAUGUUAAAGCCCAACUUCUAUUCCUAGUCGAGAUGGAAAAGGGGUUAAUGUCCAUUAGAGAUUAUCCUAAUUUUAAUUCUUUGACGUUUUAUUCUAGUCUUGUUGAAAAAAUUAAUGGGCUUUAAGGAGUUUGAGGAGGUGGGGUACUGCUUACGAUCACCUUAUGGUUAAUCUGAUGUUUUUUCUUAAUGGGUUCUAUUGUUGGGCUCCUUGUCCCCAUACUGUAUUACUUAAAUGUGGUAGUGGAUCUGCAUUACAUAUGACCAGUUUUGUCUUUGUUUUUGUCUGUCUUAUCUACAAGGUUUUUAAGGCCGAUUUUGGAACAUGAUAUCCAAUCGAUGGGACUUUAAUGUUACUGUAUUAUUGUGUUCUAGACAGCCUAUUGAUGAAUUUUGAAAUAGAAUAAUAUACCUUUGUUUGUUUAUUGGGGAUAAGAGUCCUUAAUUUUUCUUUGUAAGGUUCCUCCCCCGAGAUGUUAUGUCUAUUAUUAUUCUCAUGAAAAAAUCUAAUAAAAAGAAUUUAAAUAUAUAAUAAAUGACCUCACAUGUGCAGUGCUAUUCACAAAGAUUACCAUUAUAUCUUAAAACAACAUCACUUCUUUUGAAGUCACAUUAUGGAGAGAAUUUUUUUUUGCAAAUAUCCUAUAACAUGUUCUAUCUUGUGUUAAUCCAUUUCUUUUAAAUGUAGUAGUUUUUUUUUUUUUUUUUAAUAUAAUAUUAGAAUUUUCUUCUCAUGUGCUGUUUAAAUUGUAUGUUGAAGACUUGGCAAAGUACAUCACAAUCCAACAAAAUGUUUAUUUUCUCUUUCUCUAUGAUGACUGCCUGGAUAGAAUUUGUAACAAUGUUAGACAGGGAGGUGAGCUGGAGGUACCAAGUUGCAGGAUAAAGAGUAGUUAAAGCGGCACUGUCAUGCCGAAUCCCGUUUUUUUUUUAACCCCCCUACCGCCUCCACUACAUCCAAUUGACCCACUAGUCACCCCCAAAUACCCCUAAGCCCCCCACAUUACCUAUUUUUUAUUCCUUAUUUUCUGCCCCGAUCUAUAUUCAGGGCGCCGCCAUCUUUGUGUGGGUAGGUGAAGUCCCUGUGGGACACGUCAUCAGCCCACACUAGGCAGACACUGAGAUUCCCGCACAUGCCCAGUGAAACACCUGGACAUGCGAACGGGAAUUUCAUCUAUUCACUCAUUCAUCAGACAGACGAAUGAGUGAAUAGAAAUAUCAGCCAACAAACAAACAAACACAAUGUAUCAGUGUUAGUUUGUUCGUGCAGUUAUUACAGGGAGGGAGCUACCGGCGUGCAGCUCCCUCCUUGUAAUAUGUAACUAUAGAAGCGGCAGGGAGCAGUGCUCCCCACCACUUCAUAAGCCCCCCCCAGUACCCCCUCUCACUCUAUGGGGGUCAAUAUGACCCCCAUAAUAGCACAAGGGAGGUUAAAAUCUCCCAAAUGCCCCUGCUCUCUAUACCGCGAGUAGGGGCAUGUCUACUAAACAGUGAGCAGCCUAUGGCUGCUCACUGUUGGAAAAAAAAGACAUAAAUUACAAUAAGGGGGGGCGGACCGAUUGUCCUCCCCCCCUCCCCCACCCUGAGCGGCGGGUGGGGGCCAUGAAGAUAAUGAGGGGGGGACCUACUGUCCUCCCCCCGGCCCCCACCCUGAGCGGUGGGUGGGGGCCCUAAUAAAACAAUAAAGGGGGGGACCUACUGUCCUCCCCUGGCCCCACCCUGGGCGGUGGGUGGGGACCUACUGUCCUCCCCUGGCCCCCACCCCUGCGGUGGGUGGGGGCCCCAGUAAGCUAAUAAGGGGGGGGACCUACUGUCCUCCCCUGGCCCCACCCUGGCGGUGGGUGGGGGCCCCAAUGCACUGUGGGGGAUCUGCUGUCCUCCCCAGCCCCCAGCGGUGGGUGGGGGCCCUAAAUAAAGAUAUGGGGGGGGGGACUUCUGUCCCCCCCCGGCCCCCACCCCUGCGUGGUGGGUGGGGACCCUAAUAAAACAAUAAGGGGGGGACCUACUGUCCUCCCCCACCCCUGUGCGGUGGGUGGGGGCCCUAAUAAAACAAUAAGGGGGGGGACCUACUGUCCUCCCCACCCCUGCGCGGUGGGUGGGGGCCUUAAUAAAACAAUAAGGGGGGGGACCUACUGUCCUCCCCCCCUGGCCCCCACCCCUGAGCGGUGGGUGGGGGCCCUAAUAAAACAAUAAGGGGGGGACCUACUGUCCUCCCCGCCCUGGCCCCCACCCCUGAGCGGUGGGUGGGGGCCCUAAAUGAAACACCCCCCCCAAUCAAGGUGACUAGGGGUCCCAAGCCCCUAGUCACCACCCCCCCACCCAAAAAAACCUAUCCCCAACCUACCCCCCUCACCCAGGGUGGGGAGGACAGUAGGUCCCCCCCCCCUUAUUGUUUUAUUAGGGCCCCCACCCACCGCGCAGGGGUGGGGGCCAGGGGGGGAGGACAGUAGGUCCCCCCCUAUUGUUUUAUUAGGGCCCCCACCCACCGCUCAGGGGUGGGGGCCAGGGGGGGGAGGACAGUAGGUCCCCCCCCCUUAUUGUUUUAUUGGGGCCCCCACCCACCGCUCAGGGGUGGGGGCCGGGGGGGAGGACAGUAGGUCCCCCCCCCUAUUGUUUUAUUAGGGCCCCCACCCACCGCUCAGGUGUGGGGGCUGGGGGGGAGGACAGUAGGUCCCCCCCCUUAUUGUUUUACUGGGGCCCCCACCCACCGCUCAGGGGUGGGGACCGGGGGGAGAGGACAGUAGGUUUUAUAGAAAAUUAAAGAAGAUAGGAAGAAAAGAAUAACAGAUCCUGAGAGAGGGGGAGAAGAGGAAGAGAUUGAGGAAAGGUAAGUUCGGCAUGACAGUGCCGCUUUAAUUUCUGAAUUGUAUUUUAUUUUUCAUACAUCAGGGCUUGACAAAUUUGUUAGUUUUCAAUGAGAAAAAUGCAAUGCUUAAUGGACCCUACAGAUACCAGAACCACUAUAGCUUAAUGUAGUUAUUCUAGUGUUUAUACCCUGUACAUGCAGACCUUUCAACAUAAACACUGUCUGCAGCACCUACGUUCAGCGUCUCUACGCUGUGCCUGGAGGCGUUGAAUGUUCCCCAUGGAGAUCAUUGAUUAAAAACAUCUGUAUGAGAAGAUGCUGAUUGGCACUUUCGCUGCGCAUGCGCAAUAUCUACCCAAUGCUUUCCUACAGGAAAGCAUUGGCUUGACUGAGAUCCUAAGUUGAUCUCGGUCAUGGAGGCUGGACCGAAAUCGUCAUGGGAUAAAAGGUGAGUAAAAGCACCUUUGUCAUGCAAUUGGAGGGGGGAGCAGGUACCUACACAAACACACACACACACUCUCUGACAGGCGCACUCACUGAAAUUUUUAUUUUUACUGAAAUCAAUCCAGUCUACCAGUCUGUCUACCAGUGGGAGCCUGCGGUCCAGUGGGGCUGCUCUGAUAAUCUUCCUGCAACUACUUUCUGCUCCCUCAUGCUCUGUAGUGAUGCCGGGGGCCGGAAUUAAGUCAUAUUCCGGAAUCAUUAAAUAGUGCGCAAGGGAGCAGAGAGGAACUGUAGAUUACUGCUCCCUCACACGCUGCCUACAAUGAUCCCGCGGGCAUGCGACCCACACGCUGCCACAGCCGUUUAAAGAAUACAGCCAAUGUAACCCCUGAGCCGGCCGCCUCCAUACUCACCAGUGCGACCGGCUCCAGUGUUCCCUACCGCCGACGGCUUUAAUGCUCCCUCGGAUGGCUGUCUUAAUUAAAGGGCUGACAUCCCAGGUGCCAGGACGAAAUUUCUAGUUGCCAUGGUGACUUUGCACCUGAGAUUUGUCGAUCCCUGUCAUACAUCACAAAUCCAUAUUUGUUAAUUAUAGCGGAUAUGUGAAUUACAAAUACUGGUGCUUAAAUGUAAUUCAGAUGGGUCCCUGGACACUACAGAGCCAAACAUCUGCAUAUAGUCUUUCUGUAUGUGUUUGGAGUGUAAUCACUUAUUUGUAGUGAAUUGAUAACUAAAUUAGCAAGAUCUAGGCACAAAGUGCCAAGCUGUGGCUAUAUGUCAGUUGAAAUGUUUUUCUAAAUUGAUUAUUUUUCCACAGAUUUUGCAGUUCGAAUUGCAAAUCACUACCUUUCAAAGCAAACUCCGGUUUUAUAAAAUAUGGGACUUUGCCUUUUCCAACAGAGUGUAAAGAUAAAUUGACCUUUAUAUUUCAUGCAUGUUUCCACCUCAAGUCUCUUAGAAAUAGGCUAUUUAAGCUGUUCCCAGAGGUAUGAGCAAACAGCGUCAGUCUGCUUUAUGGUGUACAUUUUUCAGAACAUAAACUACACGCUUGGUGACAUAGAUUUCCUUCCUUGCCGUGUUAUGUGAAGAAUAUUAUUUUGUGUGUGCAAGGAUGAUCUGUUUAAAUGACCAAUCUUUUAUGUGAGUAUAAUAACUAUUCAUUUAUAAAAUUUGUAAAUAUGGUCAUCAGAGCAACAUGCCAUUUUUACAAUUUCAAGGUUGUUCAGUAAAUGCUGGUUAGUAGUGAAUUGAAAUACGAAUUGCUAAAUUAAGGCUGAUUGAAGAUUUCAAACAGUGCUAUUUUUAUUACAGCUAUUAUCACUGUUUUAGAUGUAAAUUUGAAAUUCUGAUUUUGGUUUGUGUACAGUUGCAUACUAGGGUGGUCAUGUACAAAAAAGUAUGUUAUGAAAAGGAAUGAAGUCACCAAUGCUGCCAAUGUAGUCACCCUAUUUUCUAUGUUAAAGACUAACUUUUUAGUACUUUAGACCACUUUUGAGAUCACACUAUACAUAACCCCCUUGUUGCAUAUUUACUUAUUAAUCGCUACAUAUUCAAGUCUAAGUUGGCAGUUAUUUUACUAUGAAAAUAUGCAUUCAUUACUCCUAUAUAGCCUUAGAAGUCUGUAUUGCUGCUAGUUAGCCCUUGCAGUCAGCAUAGAGAUGGCAUACAGAGACGAAGAGAAAUUAAACGGUUACUCUGAGCAUCAUUACUACAGCCCACUACAAUUAUUAUGGUGCCAGUUGAACUCUGGCAGCAUUCCCCAAUAAGUAGACAGCAAUUUACCUCAAACCCAGGUACCACAUGGCUCCCAUUGGCUGAACUGGCAUCCAGUUUGAUCACAACUGCAGAAGCUGAAUGCUAAUCCUGCUAUUCAUUUAUUGGCUGAGAAAGUCAGCUGAGCACUCUCAGCCAAUGACUAAGCCUCUAUGCAUAGACUGCACAAAAUUAAUAUAUAAUUAUCUAAAUAUGUGCAUUUCUUACUGAAACGCUGUACAUACAGGGUUCUUGCACCAUGACUACUUCAAAACACUGGUCAUGAUCUGUGGCCAUCGUGCCUGGUGCUAUUGCUCUCCCUAAUUUGUGGUUUAUUCCUGAACUGGAUUGUGGUAUAUUUUUCCAAAGAUGGGACAGUUUUCCUAUAAGGUGUGGUCUUUAAAAGGUACCUUUCACAGUUCACUCUAUUUAUGCUCUUUUUAAAGAACAUGCAUUUCGAUCUAUACAUUGUGUUAUACGAAUUGCAUUGCAAAUGUGUCGAUUGGGAUAAAAAAAAAAGCCUUCUUCAACCUGUCAAUUCUAUAGACUCACAUGUAGUCUCCCAUUCUCUUCCUCUCCCUCACACCCCUUAAAUACAAGGUGGAUCAUUAAUCAUCACUAAUGAAGGUUGUAGGGACACAUAAUGUCACGCCUUGCAACUCCAGCAACUAGAACAGGUUUGUAACGGAGCUGUUUAACCAUAAAGUGGCCUUAGGGCCUAGGUGAUAGACUGGGACUUUGGAACCAUGAAUGUUUUUGUCAAAUCAGGCAUACCUAUGUGACAAAUGAGGGGGUGUCCAAACAAGUAACCUCCCUUGCAGCCUCCUUCUUACAAAUUCCCAAAUCACAUGCACCAUGUGAGUAGGGCGACAUACAUAGAGAUCUUUUGAGAUUUGUUCAAAAUCGCAAUAAAGGGGGGAGGGUGAGAAACAUCCUUAUGAUAAUAUAAUAUAAUCAGGGCGAGGACUAGGUGCCAUCACCCUGAUCCCACCCAUUGGUGGUGGGUGGGGACACUAAUUAUAAUCAGGGGAAAGACCAAAGGUCCCCCACAAGGUGGCAGACAGGGGCUCUAAUUAAAUAGAAACACCCCUUUCCUUGGAUGUCUAGGGGACCCCCCAAUCCCUGAGCCACCCCCACCAAAAAAUAAAACAAAUGUUUAUGAAGUAUAAUUUACGGUAAUCUUGCCCACCUGAAGUCUUCUUUUUCUCAUUUUCUUCUUACCUUCAUUAUUAUUCUUUAUUCUCUGGGAAGGGCAGGAGGUGCAUACCUGGUAUAUCAUUCACAUAUAAUGUCCUAGAAAUACAGUUCAUUCCAAAGUCCUUUCUAAAAACUUAAGUCAAUUAACCUUGAUUAAACUUGAACUAUACUUUCAAGGGUUGUAGUUUUAUCUGCACUCUCCCUUUGACAGUUCUAGUCAUAGCCUGACUACUCUUUAUUACAGAGGCAAUAUCGCUAUAACCAGAUCCCUUGACUAAAGCUUUUUUUCAGAGAAGAUUUUUUUUUUCUAACGUCAUGUACCAGAACUAAUCACUGUACAAUAAGCCUCAUGAGUUUAUCACACUUUAUCAUGAUACGAACAAUACUUAAAGGAACACUAUAGUCACCAGAACAGCUACAGCUCAUUGGAUUUAUUCUGGUGAGUAGAAUCAUUACCUUCAGGCCUUUUGCUGUAAACACUGUCUUUUCUGAGAAAAUGCAGUGUUUACAUUACAGCCUAGUGAUAACUUCACUGGCCACUCCUCAGAUGUCUGUUAGAGAUCCUUCCUGGGUCAUGGCUUCCUAAAAUGCAUCCAAACAUUCAGUGUCUUCUUCCUCUGCAUUCCGACACUGAACUUUCCUCAUAGAAAUUAAUUGGUUAAAAUUAAUCUCCAUGAGGAGAUGCUGACUGGCCAGGGCUGUGUUGGAAUUGUGCUGGCUCUGCCCCUGAUCUGCCUCCUUGUCAGUCUCAGCCAGUCCUAUGGAGAAGCACUGUGAUUGGAUCAGGCCACCACUUCUGAUGAUGUCAGCAGACAGCUUGCUAUUCUGAGGCAAACAACAUGCAGAGCUACAGCUUUAGGCUUUGAUACAAGUAAGAUUUUG